ACCCAUACUGUGGCACUUUUUUGGUGCUUUUUUAACUUUUUUGUUUAUUACUUUUUAAAUAAGUUUAAUAUUUCUUAAUUAUUUCAUUUAUUUUAUUUUUUUGAACCAACCCACUUCUUAUUACAUUUUGGUGAUAUUAUUGUACUUCUUUGUUCAAUGACUACACAAUACUAAAAUUUAAAUCCUUUCAAUGAAACCUCAUUUUGGUGUAUAAUGAUGACUACAAAUAAGUAAAAAAGUUAGAUGUUAAUGAGUGUAAGGGAUGUAUACGACCAAACUGUCUAAAUAAUAUGAAUCUUUUUAUGUCAUGAUCACACACAAAAUUAAAGUGUUGCCAUGAUCAUACACCAAAGUAAGGUGUCCUUAUUAGUUUCAAGAUUUCCUACAUGAGUUAAUCUAUUGAGCCUUGUAUCCUUAUUAGUUUUGCAACAAACUAGAGUGGCGCGGUGGUGCCCUACGCUUCGUGUCAGGUAGAAAAAGAAAGUUGAAUAGGGAAAAAUGAUCAACAAUGAUGACCCGUAACACGCUACAUGAACAAUGUCAGAUCCAAACACGCUACAUUAAUAGAUACCAAAUGUAAUAAGAAUUUUUAAAAUAAAUGAGCUACUCAAUAAGGAAAAUUGUACUAAUUAAAAAACUAGCUUUAUCUAAAAAACUAAUUAAAAGUAUGGCAGAAACCAUGAUGAUACAUAAAUCACAAAAAUAGUUAAUACCAAAAAUGAAGUAAAAAAUAUGGCCACCAUAGCCUUUGAACCCACAACCUCACGAUCUAACUGAAAGAGCCUUGCCAUUGUGCCAUUCUAGUGUGUCUGUCAGUAUUGGAGCAAAAUUUUACUUGAACAUGUACCGCAAGGUACCACAACCUCUACCAGGCGCGGGAAAAAGUUGCAUCCUAAAAAAAUUUCCGCCAAAAAUUUUGGAAGGAUAAUGCUUCACGUAUCCAUUUCCCCCCCUCCCUCCUCACCCCGCGGCCACUAAUCCUCUCUCCCCCACCUUUCUAAACCCUAGCCGCCAUCGACGACCUGCAUCCUCGCCCGCCAAGCUGCGUCCUCGCCGAGCUCAAUCGCCACAUCCCUGUCUCUCAUCACCGAGAAGUGGAUCACAUGCAUCCCCGCCUUCUUCCUCGUUGACGCCACCGCUGACGAGCACUAGGUCUGCAUCACCAUCUUCUUCCCCGUUGACGACCGCCGCCGACGGGCUCGUGGCUGACGACCAAUGGUGGCAACAAGGGGUCAAGGUAGGAACAGACCUGCAGAACAAGAACAAGGUAAGCCGAAUCCUUUGCCUCGACUCCUAAUACUUCAAUUUUAUUGCUAGUACCGACUGCUCUGUGAACAAUUUGGGUAGUAGCAUUGAAUUUAGGACAGAUGGUCUUGCUGAUGUGCUUUAGGGUUUGUUUGCCCCCUUCAGUCUUUGUACUUCAGUUUUUCAAAAAAAUUGUGUAAGCAGAAACAUUGAGUUGAACCUGUAAUCACGCAAAGAAACCUCACUUGCCCCUAAUUUACUGGAUAUGUAAUUUAAGUAUUAAUUUGGAGUGUUUUGUGGACCCUGGAUUGGUCAUUUAGUUAUUCAAGAUAAGUAAACCUCAUGUUCCUAUGAAUUCCUUCUGCUUGUCUGUGAAGCAAGGUACUAGGGGAAAAAACUGGAAGAUAAACAAAUAUACCUGCAAAUUGUCAUGUACUUCUUCAGUGUUAGCAUACUUUAAAAAUCUGCUACAAUUCAUUUACAAAUUUUGUUAGCAAUGGAUGAACAUAUAUGCUACAAUUAAUUAGCAAUUGAUUAAUUUCUGUGCUGCAUUAAAUAAAAAUAUUGAGUAGUGGAACCCAUGAACCAUGCACAUAUUUGGUGACAGAUGAAGCUAUAUUCAGAGAAAACAACAGGCGAUACUUUUCCAUUUGCUUCUGUGCUCUUUUAGUUCAAACUGAAUUGGUAACAAAAAUAAUUUAGUUUAGUUUAGUUUCAGUUUGAAGGUAAAGACUAAAUGCAAUACUUUCAGGAAAAUAGUUGUGCAAAAUUAUUAAGUUAUUGAAUGAAUAAAUUCAGGGCUACAAUUAAUUCAGGGCGACUUCUGAGUUGAGUGUAACGCCUAGUUUUUUCAUAAUUUUAACCAAAUAUUCUGUGGGUGUUUGUGUUCCAGAAAUUUAAUGUUUCUGGGCAAGCUGGUUAUUGCCGGUGAUCUAAUUAUAAUUUGCUGAAAUUAAGCUGUUUAAGCUUUUUAAUAAAUGCCAAUGUGUGAACUCGCUGACUUUGGUCUACUAUUUCAUGGUGAAACUGAAUGUUCAGUCAACAUAAUAGAAAAGAAUAGCUUCCUCCUUGGUACUUAACUGUUGUUAUUUUUUAUAAUAUUUAUAUUCAGUGUACAAUGUCCCAUAGCUACCAACUUAUCAAAGCUGAAGUAAGCUAUUCUGGAAAUGCCUUGUUGAAUACAAUACAAUAGAUAAUUCAUGAUAAUUGUUACUGAUGCACAAUUAGGAACACAUUAGCUAAUGAAAACCCACCUGAAUCAGUAAACCAACAACUAAUGCCAAAUUAGCUGCUUCAUGAUAUUAUUAGCUAGCUUCAAAAGUUUCAGUACAACAAAACCUGUAGCUCUUACCUCUUAUUAGUACCUAUUACCUCUUAGAUCAGUCCUAUUUGUUUUCUAAUAGACACAUUUUCCUUGUUCUUGUAAGAACCUGCAAAAACUGACUAUGAGAGAAGAAGGGAUUCUCACGUGGCCGCAGUUCAAAAGAAGAUGGAAGAUCUGGGACUCAAAAUAUUAGCUACUGAUCUUAAAAAAUCUAUACCUCAAUCUGCAUCAAACAAGGGGAAAAGAUCUGCAAACAAGAAAUCAAAUAGUGAAGAUUCGGAUUCAUCGGAGUAUCUCCUUGACGAUGAUGAUCAAGGAGAUAGUGAUGAUGAUGACACUGAAUCUGAUGAUCAGCCACAACCCUUGGCAACUAAGGUGGACUCUCUCACUACACUACUUUCAAUUCUUCCAAUAACCAACAUUCAUUUGGUCAUCACUCUUAUUACUUGUUAGUCAAUGAGGUAAUACAAAUAGUGUUUUUCCCUCUACCUGUGGUUUAAAUUGCUGCCUACUAUUCCAUCUAUAGUGGUAGUGUAAGUUUCUUAUAUUCCUAUAAAUGGUUGUAUUAUACCAAUCAUGUAUAUUGCUGCAAUGCUUCCUGAGCUUUAAAUAUUUUUAUAAUUUUCCAUCUGUACUGUCAACUAUCAAGUAAAGUUUGUUUGAGACUUGUUUUUUUCCACAGUAUCCUCCAGGCUAUACUUCUAGAGGCCAAGCUUCAAAGAGGAGGAAGACAGGUGACAACAUGGCUCCAGGAGUAAGGGCUAGUAAAAGAGUGAGGGCAUUUGAAGGAUUAGAGGUGUCACCAACGCAAACCAAAACAAGAUCAUCGAAAAGGCCUCAUUCCUUAGCAAGAGAUGGGCAGAAUGAAGAAGAAAUACCACAAAGCUCUUUUACAGCUGUAGAAUCAAGCAAUGGAGUUGGUGUUACUAACACUACUACUGGAGAGGAAGAAAGUGGAGCUGCUGCUCAAGAUACCACAUGUGGUGAUGAAGACAACAUAACUGCAGAGGAAGGCAAGUUAAAGUUUGGUUGUCAUAAAAAAUAUCAUCUCUUUUGCUGAUUUCCAUGAAACUAAUGCAAAAUCUGUUUUGUAGGUCCGGCACAGCGAGCCCCAAGGAGGCCCAGGCCACCCACCAAGGGAACACAUGUAGAUAGGAUGACCAAAGCUAUGGGAAGGAGGAUGCCCAUAUCUAUUCAAGAAGGCAAAAGAAGGCCUCAUGAACCUGUUCAAGCAGCCAAGUUUGCAUCUGAGGCUGGAGUAGUGAUUCGGGAUCGGGUUCCUGUCCUAACUCAUUGGAAAGAAUACAAGAAGAACGAACAACAUUACGACAACUUUGUGAAAAAGCUAUCUGUAAGUUGAGUACUGUUUAGUUGGUUGGCUUUCAUGUAUGCUUAACAUGAAUUGACUAACUAAUUAUGCAAUUGACUGAUUGCCUGAUGACUAGGGGCGGUUGUCCAUCAACUCUGAAGACAAUGCAACAAAGGAAGCUUGCACCGAUAUGCUACGCUCUGGGGUGCGACAGAUGCGAUAUCGACUUAAGAAGAAAUAUUUCAUUGGUAUACCAGCAAAUGAGAUUAGGACAUCUUCUCUGGUUGCAAGCAUGACUGAUGAACAGUGGAGGGCACUAGUGGCUAAGUGGUCUGAUCCAAAGAACCUGGUAUGGGUAUCUUCUCACUUUUACUUUCUCAUUCAGUUUCAAGUGAAAAAGUGAAUCAAGUGUGACAUGUUCAAUCCCUUGUAGGAAUCAUGUGUAAAGAACAAGCAGAAUCGUAGUAAAGUCAAGUAUCAUCAGGCUACGGGUUCUCGCAGCUAUGUGGUACACUUGCAUGCAUAUGUGAGUAAAUAAAACUUUGUACAUUAUUGUAGUUAACAAGUUAUUUUGCAUUUCAUCUCACAAAACUUUACUGGACUUGAUUGUCAACCAACAAAAGCAGAAUAGAAAUAAUGCUGAACCCAGCUUAGAAUAAUUUGAUGAACUUGAUGCGGUGGAGGCCUUCAAGAGCUGCCAUACCAGCUCCAAAAAUGGACUCAGUGAACCAGCAAGAGAAGCUGUUGUAAGUCCACAAAUCACUUAAACUAUGCCAUUUUGUCAUUUCUAUACCAAUCUGCAGCUGCCUACAAGUUUUAGUUGAUGCUUCGGCAAAACAGAGCCUAGUUUUAGUAAUAAGGUUAGGAAAUCUUCAGUUCAUGUAAUAAUAAGUACUUCUUGAUCAGAGAAAAAAACAUAUUUGCAGUUUCUAGGUCAUAAGGUUAUGAGGACAAAAUAUGCAGUUUCUGUGGCAUUAUUUUAUACUUGUUUGAUCAGAGAAAAUAGAAAAAAAUAUGCAGUUCGUGCCUAAUAUGCAGUUUCUAUUGACCUAAACUAUUGGUUUCCAGAACAUAGUGUUUAAGAGAAAAUAAAAUAGUACUAUUGGUAGGGUGGCUUAUGUUGUUACUGAAUACAUUUGUAGUGUGAUGUAAUAGAUUUUGUUGCACUAUUACAAGCAAUAAGCAUUAGUCGAGUGCUUUCUUAUGCAUGAACAUGGUAGUGUGAACUUAAAUUAUUAAAAAUGUCAUUGCCUGCUUUGUAUGUGCAUGUAUUUUGAUCAAAACUGGUGACAAUCCAAUAUAGCAAGACAUAGUUGUUGGGUAAUAAUCAUAUGCUUAUGACUUCUAUUUCCAUUCAGUUUGUUAAGAACAAAUAAAUGUCUCAUGGAUUAUGUACAUUUGUUGCAUCAGCUAUCAAUGCAGUGUACGAUAGAUUUUUAUUUUCAACAAUAGAUAUUAUGUCAUAUUUUCCUCAUAUUAUUGCAAUAAGUAACAACUAAUUAUGGGUCUUUCUUGUUUCAGUCAAAUAUGGAAGCUUUGAGGGAACAACCUGUUGCUGAAGGUGAGACAGCAGUAUCGAGUGUCCAGGUUGUGUCGCAAGUGCUCUCUCAGAACAGCUCAAACAUAUUCCUCAAGAGUGUUGGCAUCAAACAAGUCCCAUCCUCCAAAUCAUCAAGCAAUGAAAGCCAACUGCAGGAAGAACUUGCAGCUGAGGCUAUGGCUGCUGUACAAGAUGAACUUGAUGUUCUCAAGAAAAGAAGUGAAGAAGCUGAGGAGAAGCUUGCGAGGACACAGCAGGAGUUGGAGGAGUACAAGAAGCUGACUGAGAAAAAUAACAAGGCAAUGGAAGAGAACAAUGCGCUGCUCAAGCGUAUCUUGUCCCUCAACAAUGCUUCAAUAUGAGCAAUGCUCGUAGCUGCUAGAAGUAGGACUUAACAUUAACUUGUACCUGCUGGUGAUUGGCAUGCUAGUGCUUUUGUUAAUGCAAUGCCUUAUGUUGAUGGUGGUAACUUGAACCAAGUGUAGUACUGUUUUAAGUUUAGUACUGGUGAACUGUGUUUAUGUCUUCCUAGUGGUGUCAAGUGACUUGUGUGAUGUUCAGUAAUCUUUAAGUUUUCUAGUUUAGAAUACUCAAUUUGUUAGCUUUUGAUGUCAAAUAUUAUUUUUUAUUUUCUAAUCAAAUCAGUAUGAGCACCUAUGUUGUCUAUUGGCAUUCCAUAAUUUAAUACUUAGUUCUACGACGAUUUUAAACUUCUGUUUGGUGACGAAAAUAUUAAGCAAUAACAGCUAGACACGUGGACUAAUCACACGAUGCCACGUGUUAGGUCACGGCAGCAGCCACAUGUCCACACCGUCAGACACGUGGCAGUCCACGUCAGGUGCCACGUCAGAUGCCACGUGGCAGCCCACGUCAGGUGCCACUACAGCAUACACGUGUCAGCCACGUCAGCUGCCAUGUGGCAGCCACAUCAGGUGCCACGCCAGUAACCAUGUGGCAGCCACGUCAGCUGCCAGCGUGGCAAACGCCGUUUGGCAGCCUGACGGGACGACGUACCAUGACAAAAACUACACACACCGAUGACGAAAACAAUACGUCAUAGAUUGAAUCCAGUUCUGUGACGAUAUCAUGUUUCAUCAUAGAACGAAUGCACAUCUAUGACGAAAAUGUCCAUUUCGUCACCGUAGGCAAAAUGUGACGCGCGUUCCAUGACAAAAACCGUUUCGUCACAAAAACGUCACAAAACAUUUUAUGUGACGUUUUUGGAAUCUUCAGUGACGAAAGAGUAGCGUCAUUGUUGAGCACAUCACUACUAAUAAGGACUUGGGCUCCAGCAUAUUCCCCGGUGUCCUUCACGAACUGCUGGAGCCAGCCCCACGCUUGCUGUGCUUUCUCAACCGGAGUCCGCCUCUACGCGCGGGGCUGGUCUUCGGGAGCUUCGGACUGAUCAGAUCUAGCACCGAGGCCACUCCCUUCUAGAUCUUAAUGCAGUUCGCCUUCCACGAGUCCCGGUCUUUGACCAGGUCCUCGACAUGCUUCUUCAUAUUGGCCUUGAGCACUGAGACAAGGUUUAAGACAAGAGGACAGUCAACAUCAGGCUACAACACUAAAAAACUUACACUCACCGUGUCAAAACCGAUUUUACCAGCCAGCUCCCGGUUCCUGGUCUUCUGCACUUCUCCGACCUUUCGCUCGCCCUCCAGUGCGCGAGCACGCUCCUAGUCGAGCUGGUCCUUCUCCUUCCGGAGGCGCUCUAUUUCCUCCUCCAGACCUGCAGCAGUAACUGUUCGUCAAAAGAACCGAACACGUUGUCAACCACCACUAGUGCCAAUAACAAGACUUACCCUUUUUCUCGUGGUCCUUGUCGGCUAGUCGCCGAGUUAGGCCCAGCAUCCGCUCCUCCCGAGCAGCCUUCUUCUUGGCCUUCUUCUUGGCUUCCAACCGAAGGCGGUCCACCUCAGAGGUCAGGGCAUUAUUUUUGGCCAUAAUCCCUUCAAUCUGGUCAAAGCAUCUUUUACGAUACUUUGCCAUUUUCAUCACGUCCUGUGGAUUUCACGUACAUAAACAGGUGAGCACCCCAAGACUUGUGUGUUUAAUGGAAUGCGAGAUCACUUACCUUAACCUCGCUGACAAGACGCUUGGCGGCCGCUCCACCCUCUCCGCCUCCUCGACCUCGGCAAUCUCUUCAUGGCCGGCCCAGUGGUCUCCACGUUGGUGCCACACAUAGAUAUGCUGGCGUCCGUUGUGGGGGUGCCCCUGGAUCUCCUCCACCUCGUCGUCGGAGUCCGCCUGGGCCCCCUCACCCUCUGUGCUUCUCCCCACCAUAGUCGAGGACAUCAUUGGUCCCUUACCAAGGUCGGGAGCACCCUCCGACGCGGCAGCCUCUACAGGCGGCUCCUCCACCCGAGCAAGGGAUGGAGCUCUGUUCUCCUCUUUCGCCACACUGCUCGGUGGGGGAGUGCCCGCAGCCCCUCAUCCUUUAUCGGGGCGUUUACACCGGCCCCUUCUCGGGCCGAGUCCUCGAUGAUCCUCUCCGUUGUUGGGGCAGUAGCGGGCUGUGCCAUGGGCUGCUCUGUGGCAGCCUACCCUACGGUGGUCUACCCAUCGAUAACUGGUUCAGUUGGCCCCGAGCCCAAAAUGGUGCUGGGGUCAACAUCCGAGGCAGCGCUGCAAAGUUCCACUCGAGAAUAACCACACCGGAACUCAAACUUCACGAAAAAUGUAGCUAUUUUUUCUUCACUUACAGGUCAGAGCUCUUGUAAGAUGCCGAGAAGACCCUCCGCCUGGCACGCCCAGCCGCCGCAGCUGCUUCUGCCUUGUUUGGUCGCGCCUACACGACAUGUGCAGUGGGUGGGUCCUCGGUGACCCGACCACCAUCAGUCGGGGCAACAUCCGGGCGGCUGUGGGGCUUGCGGACCAAGGUCGGGGCUGCUUCUUCCUCUUCAUCGUCGUCAACAACUCAAAGGAGUCGGUGGCGCUUAGGCGCUCGGCUUCCUGAGGCCGAGCCUUGGCCAGUUACAGGCCCUGGGGCUGCUCCCACUGGCGCUGCUCCUACUUGGGAUGGCCCCAUGGCCAUCGGUCUCUUGCUGGCCAUGGUCGGCACCGGUUGAUUGUCAUCUUCGUCGCUAUUGGUGUACCAGUAACAUCGAGCAGCGUUGUCCGCUGGUGGAUCCACUCCGGUCGGGUUCUCCACACCGGGCGCUAGUGAUACAUACACUACCACGCGGUCAUUGUCUCCAAUCUGCAAGACAAAGGCGAUAAGUUAUCAGAAGAAGGGCAUGACAAUUUACAAAAUUACAAAUCAACUGAAGUCAUCAUUUACCUUGGGAGCUGGUCGACCUAGCUUGUACGUGUGCAUCCGAUCGUCACUUCGCACGAAGCUGCUGUCGGCCAGGUUGAACAGCUCGUUGAUCCUUCGCUGGAUCUCCGGCUUCUCCAAGUUAUCCUGGUGCAUCCUAGUUGAGUCUUGGCCACCAUGGUAUUCAUAUGCCAAGUGCACCCUCCUCUGGCACGGCAUGACUCGUCGGCUUGGGAAGUUGCCGACUACUCCAGGCCCAUCCAAGCACGACCAGUCGAUCAGAUACAUCAACUCCUUUACCUGACCAGUAUACUCUAGUCGGUCUGUCCAGCUGACCCCCUUGUCGGGAACAUAACCAACAUCACAAAAUGUGGCGCUACCCGGCUCCUCCCUGAUGUAGAACCACCUCAUGUACCAUUCGGUCAGGGAUGUGUUCCAGGGGCAGUUGAGAUAGCGGUUCUUCAUCCCGUCACGGAGAUUGAGGUAUACUCCACCUGCAAUCUUAGAGCCUCCAACUGCUCCUUUGUUCCCCAGGCAGAAUAAGUAACGAAACAAAUCAAAAUGUGGCUCAAUUCCCACAAGCGCCUCAAAGAGGUGAAUGAAGGUCGCCACGAGAAGAAUAGAGUUCGGGUGCAGAUUGCAAAUCCCGAUCUCGUAGUAAAGAAGUAAACCCUAGAGAAAAGGCUUGGGGAUCCGGGUAGCUUUCUCCUUCCGGCGCCCUCCAGCCACCAAGCUCCUGGUUGUGCAGAAGCCCCAUCUCGAUGAGGCCGUUGAGAGACCUGGUGGUGCACCGGGAUUUCUUCCAUUCUUUGGCCAUCGUCUCAGCCCUCUUCUUUGAGUCGCUCUUGCCCAUUUUCUGUGCAAGAAAUCUAGAACCGGAUCUGAUGGGUUUGGAGACAGUAAGGAGGAUGAAGGCAGGAGGUAGUGAGGGUAUGAAGGCAGGAGGCUAGCGUGCAACUGCUGAGUGAGAUUCUAAGAAUACACCGAUGGGCUCUUUAUAACAGCGGCACCACCUCCUCCACUUCCUGACUUCUAGGGAAAUGUGCGGUCUUUGCGGCGGCAAUGGCGUUUCGGUUUUCAACUUCUGUUGCAGUAAAUUCGGUAGCCUUUUUAAUGAUUAAUGCCUUUCUUUUCUUGGUCCGCGUCAUGAGCGGCUGUGCCGUCAAAAGGCAUCCCUUUUCAUGUGCCGGACUGACGAGACGGCCAGACGCCUUGUCAUGUCGCCAAUUAAUGAAGAGAAAUGAUAUUUCCCAAAUUUAAAUAACCAAUUUAUUGAUGAUAAGAAGUCUAUUUGGAUUCAUCCAAAAAUCUAGGGACUGCACCGACCACCGAGCAUGAUAUGCUCGGGGACUGGUCGACUAGCCUGCCGAAAUGAAAUCUGGGGACUGCACCGACCACCGAGCAUGGUAUGCUCGGGGACUAGUCGACCAGCCUACCGAAAUGAAAUCUAGGGACUGCACCGACCACCGAGCACGAUAUGAUCGAGGACUGGUCGACCAGCCUGCCGAAAUGAAAUCUGGGGACUGCACCGACCACCGAGCAUGGUAUGCUCGGGGACUGGUCGACCAGCCUGCCCGAAUGAAAUCUAGGGACUACACCGAUUACUGAUUAUGUUUGACUCGACUUUGAAGUGAUAUUGUUAUUAUUUUUAGACCUUGCUACAAGGCUUAUACUUUUCCUUCCAGCAAGCUCGGGGACUACAUCGGUACGAUGCAUCUAGCGAUGCAUCUCAAUAUCAUAAUUGUUAUGAGGAUUUUGCUUUUUAGACCCUGGCACCACAUGCCUAUGACACCUACUACCAGGCUCGGGGACUAAGUGGGCACACUUCACCUUGCAAUGAAUAUGCUUGCUUUUUGAGACGCUAUACUUUUCAGAAAAGUAAAGUGGGCACACUUCAUUAGGAAAUAAAUCUUCUUCUCAAGAGCACCAUGCAUUAUUCGAACAACCUGCUUCUUCGGUAUCGGCGUUGAUCAGUUGUCAACUGUUCAGGUGUUUAUCCCACUGGUCGUUGAUGUCAAGCCUCAUUGAUCGAAGAAGCUCGAGACGACGUGUUACGUCAUAAUACAUGGAGCUCGGGGAUUAGCUGUGGGGGUAUAAACCCCUAUACCCUUACGGCUAGACUUGGGCCAGGAGAUUUGGCCCAUCACGAGAUAGCUCAAGGCUUGAUCUAACUGCUCAGAGUUUCGCGCAAGGAAACAAGACGUGGAGAUCAAGCAGGAUUCUAGUCGGUUAGAAUAGGAAUUGAUAGCGACAUUAUCUAUGGCAAUUAUAACCGACUAGGAUCAGUUUCUAGACCCAUAACACUGCCCUCUGGACUAUAUAAAGAGAGGUAAGGGGCCGCCCUUAGACAAUUCAAUUCAACUCGCAGCAAUACAAUCAGACGCAGGAGGCAGGUAUUACGCCCACACGGCGGCCUAACCUGGAUAAAAUCCUUGUUUGUGUCUUGCGUCACCAUCGAGUUCGUAGCUUGCGUGCUUAUCUGCCGAUAAACUACUACCGUGGGUAUACUCCAAGGUAGACUGCUGACUAGCUUUCGUCGACAGUAGCCUUCAUAUGUGAAUUAGCCACAUAUGUCGCUAGAUUUAAAUUAUAUAACGUUGCACCUACGCUCAAGUAAGUGUGAGCUGUGAGAGCAUGAUCAUCCAAACGGUGGUCUAGGGGAGUGUUCGCGGUGGUUUUCUGGAGUGGUUGCAUGUCUAACUAUGGAACCACGAAAGAAACUUAUUUGGGGAGUAACUAAUUUAUAGGGUAGAUGUGGUGUCAUUGUUUGUGCAUGCCGGAGUAUGUGCAAGGGAUGUGCACUUAGUUUACUGCUUUCUUAAGUGAUAUAUUGGGACUUUUUUGAGCUGCAAUGAAGUUUUGUGCAGGUAUUCUAAUAGCGCGCGUGUAAAUCAUUAGUUACCAAAUUGAGAGACGAAUGUAUGACACUGUAUAUUCGUUAGAAUAAUAAUUUUCUAAGUUUGUGAGGACAUACGGAUCGUGCAUGCAUCAUAUCGCAUUCAUACAUACAUUCUGUCUACUCCUUCCCUUAUAAUUUCAUCCCAUUGUAAUGAAUAAGUAUUGCUUAAAUAAUCCUCUCUCACCCACAGUUAUUCUUUUCCACAAAUGGAUGUGCCCGCCUCACCUCUCCCCAGUGACACCUUUUUGAGCAAGUUUGGUACUCCUACCCUGCUAUGGAGGGUGUUGUAGUCAGUCGGGUAUCCAGAACCACCUCAGUACUCCUGGUGGGAGGUGGAUAUGUCAGGAGGCUUACAGUGGUUAGCCAUGCAGGGAGUUGUCCCUCCACAUGGGGGUAGGCCCACAUGGAUAGGUUGGACCUGCAAUGCGGAUGGGCAGACUCCAUGAGAGGCAGCUUAGGUUGCAGCCCAUGCUAUGCUGAUCAAUAACUGUUAGUGGUUUGGUGAUGAGCUGACAGGAGGGCCAGUGGCCUCCAUUCCCCAUGCUGACCCAGCAGCAGCGGAGUGGAAGCAGGCUGAAGGUUGUGUGUUGGUCCGAGUUCGAGGAGAGCGAGCUGAAAGCUCCAGUCCUGCUAUGAGCGUGGCUGUGCUCAAGCUGUUCAGUUAGCGAGAGGACACCUAUGUGCAGGUGAUGAGGGCUAUUCGUCAGGCUCGGGAGAUGCAACAAAAGGCUGAAAAGCGUGCUCGCAAGUUUCACAAGCAAGCUAGACUCCUGGAGCAGGCCUAGAAGACCGCAAUGAUUGGGAGGACAUUACAGAGUAUCAUAGGCAGCAGUGGGUGAAGGCCACUUGGGAGAGAGAUCAUAAGCAGGUGCAGAUGAGUGAGUUGCCUAGAGAGAAGGAGACCUUGUAGGAGCACUUAGUGCAGGUCACUCGUGAGAGGGACACUGUGCUGCGUGUGUCUGAGAACAGGCGCCGGGCAUGGGAGAUGCACCGUGUUCACUCGGCUGAGCGGGAGAACUAUCUGCUGGAUCAGAUUGAGGCUGGUCUUGUGGAGAUUCACCACCUCAACAACUUGCUACACCCUAUUCUUCGCCCUGCUCCAGUUUACCCGGAUGUGGGACCUAAGGUGAUCAUGGCCGAUGAUGAUGGUAUGGAGGUAGAUGGACACGCCACGGCAGCACCACUCUUGCACGAGGAUGUGGAGGAUGAGGAGCUUGAGCCGGUUAGCGACGAGGAUGGAGAGGUGAUCUUCAAUGCUGACUCGGACGAGAAGCCUGGAGUGUAGUGGGUAGUUAGUAUCCGUCUUUUGAGGUUCUUUUGUAUAUCGACCUGUGGCAGUCGUGCCUUGUAAUCAUGAUGUAAUCCUGAACCUUGAUCUUAGUUCCAGUGUCUGUGCUAUGGUGAUGUAAUAAUUUUAUGGACUGGUUGUUUUAAUGACUAUAUCAUGUUCGAACGGCUAUUGACGAUAUUUCCCUUUAUUGUGCAUUUGAUGGAUAUGUGUGUCAUGUGCUGUGAUUGGUGAUGUGGUUUUGUGGAAUUGAAUUAUUGUGCCUCAUUUUGUAAAGUUAUUCCCUCAAAAACUUUCAGGCAUGAUUAUAAGUUCUUCUACGACAAAUCUUGUCAUCAUCAAUACUCACUAACUGUGUCUUUAGAGAUGCCUCGAGGCACUCGAGGUGUAGGAAAUCGUGCGAACAUGGAUCCACCCCCUCCUCCCCCACCACCAAAUCCGCAGAGCUAAUGCAGGCGAUGGUGGAAAAUCAGAAAUUGCAAACUGAGACUAUUUGUCAGAUGGCAAAUCAGGGUGGUCGGGACAUACAACAUGGGCCAACACCUAACCAGUAUAGCAGUUUCAAGGAUUUCAUGGACACCAAGCCCCCAUCUUUCAGAGAGGCUGAAGAACCCCUUCAGGCGGAGGAAUGGUUAAAUACCGAGAGUCUGAAGGCAGAAUAUGCAGCUCAUUGUUGUGCAUUCUUAACGUCAUUACCAAAAGUAGACUUAGUUUUCUCAUUCUGAUAACGGCGCCAAAAAUACUGAACCUAUCCCUGAUGCCACUUAAGUCAAGUUGUCAUCCCCAGCAUGACAUGAGAGACGCGGUAUUGAAAUAUGCAAUUGCUCUUCUGAAUGAAUAAUAAAUGAGAUCUGCAAGCGCACAGAUUAAUACCGAUGUAGCAUUUUAACCGGGAAGUAUUCUAGGUAUCGUUAUUUAUAUUUUUACCACUGGGAAGGGAUUUCUAAUCAUCAAUGUUGAUUAUGGAGUGGAAUAUAGAAUUGAGUAUCCAUCAUUGCAUUUGUGAUAGAGAGCAUUAUCUAUCUCUUUCAUACAGGGAUAAAUGUCACAUAAAAUAUAGAUAAAGUAUGAAUGGUGACAAAGAUAAUUAAUCUGAUCAGCAUAACGAGCCACAUAAAAUAAUGAUAAGAACCUCAAUAGAUAUUCUAGCAAGUCAUUAGCAUGGAAUUAGGAUGAACUACAAGAAUAUUUCCUAAGUUAUUCUUAACUAUAAUGUCUAGCAUAUCAUAGUUAGUGCAAUUAUACUUGGCAAUCAUUGCGAGAUAGGACUACGCCUAUGCGUAGUGAUAUUAUAAAGGAAGAUGAGAAACAUAGCAAUCACUCCCCUGUAAUAAUGUUGUUCUGCCUGCCCUAUACACGAGAGGGGGACUAUAUAAGAAUCAAUGGAGCUGUCACUACCACGAACUACCCCGCGAUCCGGCAUAUAGGGUACGAUCGCAAAUAAAUACGAUAUAGGCACCAUGCCUACACAAUACUUAUGAUUUACCCACUGUACACAUGGAUAAACGCUAUCCGAUCCUAAACAUGUAUAUAAUUCCAAUCUAACUAAGGCAAGCAUAUAACUAUGAUAAACUAAGAACAAUAUAAUUGCGAAUAUAAACAAGUAGAGCAAAGUCAUAAUCAAUAUAUUGAAGUAGAAUAAAGUCAUAUUCAUAAUAUUGAAGAACAAUCUUGAACAAUUGAAGAACAGUAGAGGAAUUACCAAGAAUCCUCUUGACAGAUCCAGAAACUAAUCGAAGAUUGACUCCUUCUAGUUCUAAUCCUAUGUAGCUAUGCUAAACUAGAGAUCUAUUGAUGUGGUGGCUCCAGGGCUUGAUCAGGGACUUCUUCUCCCAAGAUGGAUGAAUGAAUUAGGGCUUCAGAUCUUCUCCUCUAGGGGUCAGGGGGUCUGCUUAUAUAGUCCCUCCAAAUGAAUAUGGGCCGUCGGAUCAAACCGACAUUAAUCGCACGGUUUUCCUUUAUCCCUUAGGACGGUGGAGCAUGAUCCGUGAGGUGGAAGCCGAUUGGCCCUCAGGCCAGGGCGGGCGCCCAAGGGGGGACUCCUGAUAUUGUGAAUGUGCUGCAAAUCUCCAGGAAGUGUUGGAGAUGAGCACUAGCAUCUUCAUGUGCCUUCCCACACAACUGGUUGGAUUGCACCAUGUUGAUAAGUCCAGGCUUGAGCUCAAAGUUGUCGUCGAUCUCUGCAGUAGGUCCAUUACGGAUAUUGUCCGUAGUGGGAGCUAAGAACUCACAGAUCGAUUUGUUUGCCAUGACUUCGAACUGUGAAGACAAGUUCUGGGUGAAACUUUAGUGAUCUUCUUGAUUGGAUGAAGCUUCGUGCUGAAGUGUUGACGAUGCCUUCUUGAGCUUGGCUCUUGUUUUUCUGAAUAAUGCUUCGGGGUUGUCAACAAAAUUUCCUGGAAGAUGUCUUUUAUUCAUACAUUAACCUGCAUAAAAUAAAAUAGAAAAAUACCGAGGUAAAACUGUAUAAGAGAAUUGAUAAUCUCAAUCAUAUUAGUGAUGCGAAUGAUGAAUCAAAAUUCUAUAUUCAUUCCUGAUUAGUAAUCAACCUUCCUCGGCAACGGCGCCAAAAAUGCUUGUUGGGCAUUCUUAACGUCAUUACCAAAAGUAGACUUAGUUUUCUAAUUAUGAUAACGGCGCCAAAAAUACCGAACCUAACCCUCAUGCCACUUAAGCCAAGUUGUCAUCUCCAGCAUGACAUGAGAGACGUGGUAUUGAAAUAUGCAAUUGCUCUUCUGAAUGAAUAAUAAAUGAGAUCUACAAGGGCAUAGAUUAAUACCGAUGUAGCAUUUUAACCAGGAAGUAUUCCGUUGACGAUUCUUAAGUAUAAAUUUUAAUUAUCAAAUAAACAAGGAAAAGGACCAAUAUACAAACAACACCUAGAAUUAGGGUUUGAUUUGACAGAAUUUCAUGAGUUUUGUUGUUUAUCUAUUUCUGCAGGGGGUUAUCAGGAAAUAUGGAUGAAAGGCCCACAUGUCGGGUUUACAUAGAGAUAUUACCGUGCCGCGCAAUUUUCUAUCAUCUAGAAGACUCCAGAAGCCACGGGAACGAACGGGAGGCCGAUCGGGCCCGGGGGCAGGGCGCCCGACCUCCCCCCUUGGGCGCCCGCCCACCUCUGGUGGCCAAUCACGUUCAACCUCGCGGAUUAUGCUCCACCGACCUAAAGGAUAAAGGAGAACCGUUCAAUCAAUGUCAGUUUGAUCCGACGGCCCAGAUUCAUUCGAAAAGACUAUAUAAGCAAGGCCCCCUGGCCCCUGGAGAGGAGGAAUCCAAUUAUUCAUUAGCAUAUUUUCCAGAGAGGAUUCAGAGAGAGAGAGGUUCCUUACGGUUCCCACCUCAUAGGGCGUAGCAUCCAAUGUGAGAGUAGACUAGUUCUACUAGAUUGAGGGAGAUAGAGUGGAGGUGUAGAUCAGUGGAAGCCCGGCCUGUCGGUGUCUACUCUGAGGUUGUACUUGCGGGAUCAAGUCUCCUAACCCGAGGCUUGCUCCUAGGAUUCUUCAGUAUUUUGACUUCUAAAUUCUAGUAAGUUCUUUGUUUUAUUGUUCUUUGGUUUACAAGUUUACUUCGACCUCUUCGCGUAGAGUUUAGAGUAUUCAUCUCUAGCGUAAAGGUGGUGUUUGGGCUAGGAUACUCAUAGAUAUCCCCUAUCUAGCCGGACCGUGGUAGUAGUGAGGAACGUGACAUUUCCGAGUUACCUUUGUAGUCCAUAUCCCGUUAGCAGGAUCGAUAGGGUGUGCGGGUCGAACAUCCUCUGUGGUGUCUAGAUUCCGUGAGCUUCCCCAACAGAACAGUAGAUCAUCCUUACCAAGGUUAGAACGAGAGUGCGGUUGUAGUCUUCUCUAUACAUCACUCCCAUCGAAUCACAUAGUUUGUAGCCUAAAGGUUAGUAGUAAUAGACCGGGUUAGUCAGAUGCGCGCUUUCUCCUAGUGGUAAAAAUAUAAAUACGAUACUCUAGAUAACAUCUCGGGUGAAGUGCUCACCGAUAUCCGUGCACCUGCGGAUUAAUUCCUGAUUGCGUUUCCAAAUAUCAACAUAUUCCAGGUAUCGUUAUUUAUAUUUUUACCACUGGGAAGGGAUUUCUAGUCAUCAAUGUUGAUUAUGGAGUGGAAUAUUGAAUUGAGUAUCCAUCAUUGCAUUUGUAAUAGAGAGCAUUAUCUAUCUCUUUCAUACAGGGAUAAAUGUCACAUAAAAUAUAGAUAAUGUAUGAAUGGUGACAAAGAUAAUUAAUCUGAUAAGCAUAACUAGCCACAUAUAAUAAUGAUAAGCACCUCAAUAGAUAUUCUAGCAAGUCAUUAGCAAGGAAUUAGGAUGAACUACAAGAAUAUUUCCUAAGUUAUUCUUAACUAUAAAGUCUAGCAUAUCAUAGUUAGUGCAAUUAUACUUGGCAAUCAUUGCGAGACAGGACUACGCCCAUGCAUAGUGAUAUUAUCAAGGAAGAUAAGAAACAUAACAAUCACUACCCCGUAAUAAUGUUGCUCUGCCUGCCCUAUACACGAGAGGGGGACUAUAUAAGAAUCAAUGGAGCUCUCACUUCCACGAACUACCCCGUGAUCCGGCAUAUAGGGUACAAUCACACAUAAAUACGGUAUAGGCACCACGCCUACACAAUACUUAUCAUUUACCCACUAUACACAUGGAUAAACGUUAUACGAUCCUAAACAUGUAUAUAAUUCCAAUCUAACUAAGCCAAGCAUAUAACUAUUAUAAACUAAGAACAAUAUAAUUGCGAACAUAAACAAGUAGAGCAAAGUCAUAAUCAAUAUAUUGAAGUAGAAUAAAGUCAUAUUCAUGAUAUUGAAGAACAAUGAUGAACAAUUGAAGAAAAGUAGAGGAAUUACCAAGAAUCCUCUUGACAGAUCCGGAAACCAAUCGAAGAUUGACUCCUUCUAGUUCUAAUCCUAUGUAUCUAUGCUAAACUAGAGAUCAAUUGAUGUAGUGGCUCCAGGGCUUGAUCAGGGACUUCUUCUCCCAAGAUGGAUGAAUGAAUUAGGGCUUCAGAUCCUCUCAUCCAGGCGCCAGGCGGUCUGCUUAUAUAGUCCCUCCAAAUGAAUAUGGGUCGUCGGAUCAAACCGACAUUAAUCGCACGGUUUUCCUUAAUCCCUUAGGUCGGUGGAGCAUGAUCCGCAAGGUGGAAGCUGAUUGGCCCUCAGGCUAGGGCGGGAGCCCUGCCCCCAGGCCCGAUCGGCCUCCCGCUCGUUCCCAUGGCUCCUGGACUCUUCUAGAUGUUGGAUAAUUGCGGUGCACGUUAAUAUCUCUAUGUAAACCCGACGUGUGGGCCUUUCCUCCAUAAUUCCUGAUAACCCCCUGCAGAAAUAGACAAACACUAAAACUCGUGGAAUUCUGUCAGAUAAAACCCUAAGUCUGGGUAUCGGUUGCAUUUGGAUCCUUUUCUUUGUUUAUUUGAUGAUUAUAUUUGAUACUUAAGGACCGUCAACACUCAUCAGUUGCAGGGUCCGGAUGGCAUCUGGUGGAAUCAGCACCGGGAGGCUCUUCUACAUAAUACUGUGAUUGACUGGAAUCUCUUCUGUGAAUCUUUCAAGGGGCACUUCAUACCUCCUGGGGUCAUGGAGAUGAAGCAUACUGAGUUUAUGCAGCUAACUCAGGGCAACAAAACUCUAAAAGAGUGUCUGCAUGCUUUCAAUCAUUUGUCAAGGUAUGUGAAAGGUCCUAAUAUGGCUAGAGGGGGGAGUGAAUAGCCUAUAAAAAAUCUACAAACUCACUAGAGCAAGAGGUUAGUAAAUAACAAAGCAAAGCUUUUUGCUCUAGCUCUAAGGAGGUGUUUCCAAGCCACCUAACCAACAAUACUAGUUGCUUAUAAUCACUAUACACAUAAGAACUAUGUCUCUACUUACACUAAAGAGCUACCUAAAAUUUCUAUACAAGAAGUAAGCUACUCUAGUUUGCAAGAAAGUAAGAGAGAGUGUUUGAUCUUUAUACCGCCGCGUAGAGGGGAUGAACCAAUCACAAUAAUAUGAAGUCCAAUCACUGAGAGAGAUCUAAUGAACAAUCACAAUGGAGACACACAAUUUUCUCCCGAGGUUCACAUGCUUGCCGGCACGCUACGUCCCCAUUGUGUCGACCAACACUUGGUGGUUCGACAGCUAAUAGGUAUAGCACGAACCUCGUCCUCACUAGGACACCGCAAGAACCUAACCACAAGUGUGGUAGCUCAAUGACACAAGCAAUCCACUAGAGUUGCCUUUGGCUCUCCGCCGGGGUAGGCACAAACCCCUCACAAUCACCGGGAGAUGGCCACGAACAAUCACCAACUCGUGCGAAUGCUCCUCGGCUGCUCCAAGUCAUCUAGGUGGCGGCAACCACCACCAAGAGUAACAAGAAAACCGUAGCUAGAACGAUCCCCAAGUGCCACUAGAUGCAAUCACUCAAGCAAAUGCACUUGGAAUCACUCCCAAUCUCACAAAGAUGAAUAAUCUAUGAAGGAGAUGAGUGGGAGGUGUUUGCUUAGUCUCACAAGGAUGUCAAGUAUGCUAGAAUGCCAAGAGAGUGAGCCCCAAGCUGGCCAACAACUAUUUAUAAGCCCCUCAAACAAAUAGAGCCGUUGGCUCUUUCACUGGGCACAAGUCGAGGCCACCGGACGCUCAAGUAGGAGGCACCAGACGCUCAACCCUUGCAUCCGGUGCUCCAGAAACAGCCACGUGUCGCCCUUUUCACUUUCGUGUGUCGAUCUCUAACGGUCACCUGCAGAGCACUGGACGCACUCAACUUUGCACCGGACAUGUUCGGUGCACACCGGUCUUAUACGCAGAGAGGUCUGCAAACACGUGGGGUCACCGGACCCACACCACCAGAUGCGCUCCAGAGCGUUUGGUCCCUUACCCAGAGAGCUCAGCAAUGUGCAAGGACACCGGACGCGCACCACCGGACACACCCUAAGCGUCAGGUGCUCUCAGUCAAAGACUCACACUGAGGACAAGCCACACCAGACGCACAAACAUGGUCAAGCCCGCGUCUGGUGCCUAGCGUCCGGUACUUUACCCUAAUACCGCUAGAAGCAGAUAGCUCACCGAACGCAUAGGCACUGCGUCCGGUGCCUCUGGGCCAGUGUCCGGUGAGUGUUUCUCAGCGAGAAAACAAUCCUACAACUUCUCCAAAUUUCCCUCUGGCGCAAUAGAAAAUAUGCAUUUUGUUGGUGUUUUCCCCCCGGGGGGUCACACCAACGAGUAAAACUUAUGCGUGCUCCCCUUUCCAGAUGGUGAUGCAAGAAAGACACAAAGUUUAUCCUGGUUCGGGCAAGAGAAGGCCCUACGUCCAGCGGGGGGGGGAGAUGUUUCUAUUAUCUUGCACCUAAGUGCUUGUACAGGCUGAAUACAAGUCUAUAUGGUAUGGAUGGAUGGAGAUGAAGUAUGGUUGCUCUUCUACGUAUGUCUCGUGUCCCCUAUCCUUUCCUGGGCCUCCCCUUUUAUAGUUCCAAGGGGAGACCUAGGUUACAUGUGUAGGUGACAGAGUUGGGGUCGAUAGGGGUGUGGCGCGCUGACCUACUCGAGGCUUCUGUACCGGCGUGGCCUCGAACCGUCUCGUCUCGGUACCUUGAUGAUGAUUACGCGUGCCUCUGAAUCCUGCUCCCGUGCGCCGUCCAGGAUGGGCUUAACUGUAGGUAUGCCCGUACGUCAUGCUGCAGUCGAGUCAGGGUGGUUGAGGCGCUGUCUUUCACUGCCUGACUCUUCUCAGGGAAGGAGCAUGCUUGCUCGAGGGUCUGACGCCGUGCAAAGCCCUGCUGGUUGCAGUGCUGAAUUUGGGCGUCUCGAGGGGGGUCAUGACGAGACGUUCCGUCCACCUUGCUGUGCCCUGUCAUGCUCUGACUCAUCCGGUGGACAAGGCUGCAAAAAGGGGCGAUUGGAUGGGUGCUUGCUUCCUAUCACGCUUCCCGUGACUGUCGGGUUAGGUGAGAACGCGACAAGCGCAUUAAAUGCCCUGGUUCCCGUACCCGCGUCAGGCGGUGGGGCGGCGUCCUUGCGCUCGAGGCUUGUCGAUUCAUACGAGCUAGUUUCCGUAUUCGACGGAUGCCGUUCGGUCGAGCCCCAGUUGAUUCGUAUGACGCUCUUUCGAUGUUCGAGGCUACGAACGUCGUCUUAUCUCGAAAAUCGUACAUGCGAUCAGGGGCGUCGAGUCGGGGGCCUCGAUUUACAUACGGAUGCUCUCGUUAUGUGUGUUGGUUAGGGUACCCCUUACUGAUAUCCUCGACAAUAGCCCCUGAGCCUCUAUUCGAGCACUUUGCGCUUGAGUAGAGGCUCUUCUUGUUGGUCGAGUUUCCGUGGGGUCGCGCGAGCGACCCCCACGGGGGUAGCCCUCGAACCCUUGGAGGAGUCUUUGACUCCUUCGAGGGUUAUGUUGCCUUAUCCGACGGAAGCGCUCUUGAUGUUUGUCAUGGAAGAGGAGCUAGAGGCUUCGAUCGGAUGGUUUAGCGUCAGGGUUGUGACGUACUCCCGGUGGAGCGAGCGUCACCUACCCCAGAUUGAGCUCCUAUCGGGUAAUCCAAGUGAGAACCUGUGCCCCGUUCGAGGGGGUCAGCUGUAGCCCGGAGGCGUUCUCAUAAAGCUGGGUCGACGUGGUCGGGGUUACUGGUCUCGUUCGAUAGAGUCCAGCGGCUCGAUGCCUCCCUUCAUGGGGAUUCCUCUCGACCGUCUCGUCCUCGCCUUGGACAUCCCCAGCGAGUUCUCGAGGUGGGCCUCGCUUUUCGACCACUCGCUGGGUAUCCCUGACUUUGGUACUCAAGAUCGGCUGUCGAACCCGUUCGGUCGGUCAGCCUGCGACCUCUCGAGAUUUUCAUUGUAACGAAUGCGUACCUUAGCUUACAGGGGAAGGAAAGGGUCGCGGCGGCUCGCCUUUUUGCCCGUUGGGCGCGCCUUUUCAGGCGGGAGCCGUUGCGGCACUGUAUGUCGACGAAAGCUGGUCGGCAGUCUACCUUGGGGUAUACCCACGGUAGUAGUUUAUCGGUAGACGGUGCGCAAACUACAAACUCGAUGGUGACGCAAGACACGGACAAGCUUUUUAUCCAGGUUCGGCCGCCGAGUUGGCGUAAUACCUACGUCCUGCGUCUGGUUGUAUUGAUUUGUGUUGAGAGAAUAUGAUGUGUAUGACUUGUCCUCUAGGGGACCCCUGCCCCUCCUUAUAUAUCCUGAAGGGACAGAGUUACAAGCAAAGUAUCCUAUUUGGUACAAUAUCUUGUAGUCUUGCGGUGCACGCCGACCAGUCGUGCGCUGCACGUCUUCAUCCUGUGGGCCGAGCCACCUCUGAUGGUGCGGCCCAUAUAGGCCCAUGAGGGUAUAGGGGUUUAUACCCCCACAGCUAGUCCCCGAGCACCAUGUAUUGUGAUGUAACACGCCGUCUUGAGCUUCUUCGAUCAGUGAGGCUUGACGUCUUCAAAUAAGCAAGAAAGUCGCCCAAACAGUUGCAACAGUAUUUUGACCAACUCAAAAGACAGUUGAUCAACAUUGACAUCGAAGAAACAGGUUGUUCGAAGAAUGCAUGGUGCUCUAAAUUUAAAAUGAUUUCUUUCCUGGUGAAGUGUGCCCACUUUACUUUUUUGAAAAGUACAGAUCUCAAAAAAGCAAGCAUAUUCACCGCAAGGUGAAGUGUGCCCACUUAGUCCCCGAGCCAGGUAGUAGGUGACGUAGGCACGUGGUGCCAGGGUCAAAAAAGUCUUCAUAUAAAUUCUGAAACUGAGAUGCAUCGCCAGAUGCAUCGUACCGAUGUAGUCCUCGAGCUUGCUGGAAGGCAAAGUAUGAGCCUUGUAGCAAGGUCUAAAAAAUAAAAUUACCCUUCAGUUGUAUAUGAGUCCAAUUCAUAUGUAACUGAGAAGAACAAUCCUCAAGCUGUGGUUGGAGAGUGAUCAAAGCAAGCCCUGAGCACAGUGCAGGGAGUGAUUGAUGAGUCUCCGAGCACGAUCGGUAGUCAGCACAGUCCCCGAGCACGACAUAGAGACUGAUCGGCCAGUCCCCGAGCGUGGUUGGGAACGUAAACGUGCUCGGUGGUCGGCACAGUCCCCGAGCACGGCGUAGAGACUGGUAGACAAGUCCCCGAGCGUUGUUGGGAACGUAAACGUGCUCGGUGGUCGGCACAGUCUUCAAGCACAGCGUAGAGAGUAGUCGACAAGUCCCCGAGCGUGGUUGGGAACGUAAACGUGGUCGGUGGUCGGAGCAGUCCCCGGACACAGCGUAGGGAAUAGUCGACGAGUCCCCGAGCGUAGCUUGUCGACUGGUAUAACACCCCAAAAUUCUUAUUUUGAGUUGUUAUUAUAAAUCAAUAAAAAAAAUAAAGGGUUUUAAUAUGUGGAUAAAAUUUGCCAACAAUAGUUUAGAUUUUUAUAUUUUUAUCAACGAAAAGUGGUGUUUUUCAAAUGUUAUGGAAUUAACUAGACGAGCUUUAGUUGAUGUGAUGCUUGCUUAUUACUUGAGUUUAUUAUUUUUAUGUGUGCUAAGAUUUUAAAAACACGUUUAGACGUCGUCCGAUGCUUCCCGAGAAUUUUUCGGACCUUUUUAAGACUUUUCCCCAUUUUUCUAAAAUAAAAAUCUAAUUUUGGAUGCUCUAAAUUCUUUUUCAUAGACACCAAAAACUUUAUUUGGAUUGAUCAACUCUCAAUGUAUCUCUAAAAGUUUUCCUUUAAUUUUUAGAAUUUUGGAAAUAUUUUUUCAGGAAUUUAAAAUGAUUUCAGCUUUUUCUAGAAUUAUUUUGGAACUGAAAAUAAUUUAUUUAAAAUCCCAAAAUUAAGAAAUUCCAAAACUUUUCCAAACCCUAGACCUAUAUAUAUGCCGGCGUAGCCCUCGACGCGCUGAUUCAAGAAGUACGAUCGCUUUCCCGAGCCGCCUUUCGUAGCUCCGCAGAUCCAUCGCCGAAGUUUUGGAUCUCGUUUCCGGUGAACUUUUCCGGUGAAAGUUCGGCGAGGUUUUCCGGUCAACUCCGGCGUCCUCUGCGAAAACCGUCACCGCUGCGAGGUUCGUCUCGUCGUCCUCUACACCGGCACGCCAUUCGUUUUGUAAAUCCGGGCUAGUUUACUGUUUCCCUAACCUCUCUUCUUUUCCGGCGAACUUUAUCCAUGGCCGGCAUCGUCUUCAUCUCCUCCGGCGAUUCCUUGUACCAGCAGCUGGACGUCGCCGCCUCAGAUUCGCGACCCCAGCCCGACCAGCGCGCGGCCUCGCGCGCCCCUGCUUGCGAGCAGCAGGACGCCGCCGCUGCCUCGUGCAGCACGGCUGCCCCUUGCAUCCCUGUCUCGGACGGCCGCCGCCACAGGCCUUGCUCGGCUUGGAGCCGCCCUCUGGCUCGCCAAGGUCCUGGUCGUUCCCCGUCGCUGGCCGGCCAGGCGGCCGUCCCUGGCCCCCGUCCGUGUGAGCAGCGGCAGACCCUUGGCCACGUACGGAUGACUCAAGGUAGAAGAUGAAAGUAAUUACAAGUUUGCCACUGGUCAUUAAUCCUUUGCCAUUUAAUCGUUCUAACUCCGUUUCAUUCCGUUUUAAUUGCGUUAGUUUCGUAACGUCGCGCUCUACGCAGUAGUGCUAACUUUUAUUUUGUCAUAUUUUUUUUAUAUAUAUUUAGUUGAAUAUUAGAUUAAUUAAUAUAUGCACCUAAAUCUAUAAUUAAAAGCAAUAUAGAGUUAUAAUCAUGAUUUCUAUUGUUUUAUGACCAUGACAACGUAAAUGACUUGUUAGCGAUACUGUUUUCCAUGUCCCAUGUUUGUAAAUAUAAUUAGUUUAAUUAAUAUUUAUUGAGUGUCAUUUUUUAAUUAAUAAAAAAACAAUUUAGGUUUACACUUUGGUAUUUUUAUAAUCUAAUAUUAACUUGAUUAAUGUUAACUUAAAUAUUUAUUAGUUAUAAUUCUUUUAGUUAGACAUAAAGUAUAUAAUUAAUUUGUUUAAUAUUUAUUUAAUGUCUUUUUGGAUUAAAGUAACUUAUGUUUAUAAUUUAGAUCUUUUAUAAAUAAAUAAAUGUUAACAUUAUUAAUAUCAACUUAAAUGGUUCUUUAUUAGUUAUAACUUGUUAUAUAAAUGUGACGCAUGUUAGGAUUUGAUUAGUUGCUCUCACUUGCUUUGUGUUUUCUAAAAUUACAAAGGCGUAAAUGGCUUAAAUGAUAUAUAAUCAUCUACAAUUAAAAUAUAACUGAAAUUUAACUCCGGCUUUUAUAAUUCAACAUAAUUUGGUUAAUCUAAAAUUAGGAUAGUUCUAUUAAAUGUCUGUCAUUUUAUUUCAUUAAAUAAAAUACGACCAGCGUGUAGUCGUCUUCUUCGUUACACUUCGAACCUCGAAAGUCGUAUCUGUUUAACGAUAGCUCCGUUCUCAACCGUUCUUGCGUUGUCACGAUCGUAGCAAUAAGCCGUGUCGUUUAGUGCGCUCUUUCUAAGCUUUUCUUUUGAUUGAUGCUUGUUCUUAGUCGUGAUUGUUUGUUUGUCUGUUGGUGUUGCUUGUUUGCUACGAGUAGAAGAAGCGUGGUUCAUCAACAGUGAAGAUCAGGAGCUGAGGACCGACAGUCGAAGCAGAAGUUGGAGAUCAGAAGAAAGAAGCCAAAGAAUUCUGAGCAGAUAUACACUAGGAAUUAAAGCAAGUGCAGACACCGUUUGAUCAUUUUGAACCUAUUCAUUAAUGCCAUUUACUUUAUUACGCAUGUGUCCAAUGAAUGCAAACCCUAAGGACAUGACUAGCUUUACUUACUAUUCCUUGUUCACCUGGGGUUUUGUAUAUGGGUAGUUUAGGCUAUACUAGGUUUGCUUAGUUGCUCUACUCAUCUUAUACACAUGCCUAAACAAGUAUUACUCUCUACAUAACUUGAUGCUUAAACUGUGCUGAACCUUUGGUCAUUGCGGUGAUGGCGAUGUUGGAUGCUUACGAGCAUCGUGAUGAUGGUGGCGACAGGGGGAGCGGGUACUGUUGGUGGUCCGGUUUGCCGGGCAUACCCGUCUCUGCUCUCCGUAAGGACUUAGUCAGGGAGCGGCCCCCUGGGACAUACAGUGCAGCUCCAAGCUAUAUGGCUCUGGCUUGACUAAUUAGCAGGACCUCCACUAGUAGGGUGUUACUUUCCGGGUAGGCGUGAGGAAGUAACUUGGGUAAUGAAUAUUAAGUUGUCGGUUGAUCGGUACGCCAUGGCUAUGGGUAUCGACUGCCGAGCGCCCCGGUAAAAACUUGCGAGUGGCAUCCUAUUAGUUGGACCCUGUGAAAGGUCUCGUAGUGAGACCCUGCCUGCUCACCUUGGCAGUGUUUUGGAGAGUCAUGACCCCAGGCAAAUGGGAAUCACGACUUGGAGUGAACGUGCACACCUCUGCAGAGUGUAAAACUGAUAUAUCAGCCGUGCUCACAGUCACGAGCGGCCCAGACCCUCACUUGAUGAGCAAAUUAGAUUCACUGGAUACUUGGAGAUGGAACUUGGCGAGGUUGCUACCUCGUGUUUUGGCGGAAUGGCUAUUCCGUGUUGGCCGGAUUGCUAUCCUGUGUUAAUAAUUGGGGUUAAUCCCUGGACUACUAUAAUUAUUAGGAUAGUCAUUUAAAAGAUGCUAAUCACUACUUACACUAAUAAAGGGUUGGGUUUAUGCUACUCAUAAUUAGUAGUAGGUUGUUCUAAUAAUAGUCAUAAUUAAAAGUGAUCAACUAAAAUGCUACCGCAGUCAAACCAAGUCAGCUUUACCUUGUUUUAAGCCUUGCAUGUCAUUACUUUCCGUCUGUGCUUGCUGAGUUCGACAUGAACUCACCCUUGCUAUUCCCCCCACACCCCAGUGUGUAGUAAAGUGCUGCUCAGAAGAAGAACAAAGAUGUUAUGGAGUUUUCUAGAAGCUUAUCAGAAGUGCUUGGCGUACGGAGCCCCCAGUCAACCGUCCCUGAGAAGAAUGGAGCCUAAGAAGUUUAGCUACUGUUUCCGCGUACUCUGAUGUUUGUAAGUGUUAAUAUAAAUAUGUUUUCCGCUAUAUAACAUUGUUUCUGAUAUUUCUAUUCUUUUGUUAUAUGUGUGGACUUCCUGGGCACACAUAUGACGACUCUGGUCUUAUUUUAAAAGCCAGGGUGUGACAGGAAUGGUAUCAGAGCAAUGUUGACUGUAGGACGUAUGCCUAGAUAGCGCUGGUCGAUUUCUAAAGCUUAUUUUGCUAUAAAACUAUUUUCUUAUACCUUGACCCUUGAUUCUGAUUAUUUCUUCAUCCUUGUCAUGUUGUAUCCCCUCCUUGAAUAGCUUCCUUUGAGCUAUUUCUACUAAUCUCCUUGGCUUUUGUUUAGUUGUUCUACUUAAGUUUACAAAACUUGCUUUAUUCCAAAAUUCGAUGACCCUUCAUCAUCUCGGACUUGCCUUUUAGGAUGACCAUCACUGUUGAAGAAGUUCGUGUAGUGUCGAUGAUGUAUUGUAUGCUUGUCUUGCUUGUUUGUAUUGCUUGUGUGUUAUCCUUGUUCUCAUGUUCUGAAGGAUGCCCAGUUUAUUUUGAUCCAUGUUAUGUGGGGUAGAUCCUCUACCACUCUUGAUAUCUUGAACAAAAGGAAGUUUGAAGAUUGUCUCUUGUUUAUCUCCCUUGCCUCCUCGAAUCUCAGGACAUGAUUCUUAUUAAUUUGGAGGGUGUUAUGUUGUGUUUAAAGUGGAGAAUCCUCUAAGCUAGUUUUCCUACAAUAUGAUGUUCACCUAUAUGUUCUCGAAGAUAAGCCAUACUUUGUCAGAGUGGGGUAGCGUCCGCUACCGUCAUCUAUCUCAAGUAUCCCUAGUUUCAGGACACGAAGAACUAAAGAUCAAUCUUUAUCUUUCAUCUCUAUUAUUUUUGUCAACAAUUUUUAUCUUUCUUGUUAAUCUCUCUUUAUCAUUUUAGUUAUCAUUCUUCAUCUCUCUUAUCACCAUUUGCGAUCUUGGAUGGUUGUUGCAUUUCGUAAAAUCUCAAAAGAAUCUUAAAGAACAACCUUUAUCCUUCCUACCAACCCUUGUGAGUCUACAAUCCUUUCAUCAUCUCACACCAAAGAUCUUGAAAAAAAACUUGGAAGAUUAAUCUCCAUCUUCUUUGUCAAGCUUGGCUAAUUCUCAAUCAUUUUAUCUUAAAUCCCAUAAAUCUUGAAUGAAGAAAAUAUGAGCACUAUAAGAUCUAUUUUUUAUCUUUUAUACCAUCUUUUGCUAGUCCUAGCUCCUUAUCUUUACACCUCGUAAUGUGAAGACUCGAUGAUCAAUCUUUAUCUAUUUUUUCUCACAUCCUUAUAUAUUUCUUUUCAAUAUAUCUUGACCUUCAAUAAAGCCUGAUAAGUAUCAUGGAUAUCAAUCCUUGUCUUUAUUAAAUCUGUAAUCCUUUCAUCAAUCAAUCGUUAACAUCCUUGUCAACUUUUGGUAGUCCUUAGUUCUUUCAUCACAUCUCUCGUAAAUCUUGAAUCAAGAAAAUGGUGAGCACCAUAAGAUCAUUUUUGUCAUUUCUCUAUCAAACCUUGUUAAAUUUUUUUUACCCUUUUAUCAUAUCUCAUAUAAAAAAAAUUCUCACACUCAACCUUGAUGAUCUACUUCAUCUUUCUCACAAGUCUUUCCAAAUAUCGGGACGAGAUUCAUGUUAAGUGGGGUAGAUCUAUAACACCCCAAAAUUCUUAUUUUGAGUUGUUAUUAUAAAUCAAUAAAAAAAUAAAGGGUUUUAAUAUGUGGAUAAAAUUUGCCAACAAUAGUUUAGAUUUUUAUAUUUUUAUCAACGAAAAGUGGUGUUUUUCAAAUGUUAUGGAAUUAACUAGACGAGCUUUAGUUGAUGUGAUGCUUGCUUAUUACUUGAGUUUGUUAUUUUUAUGUGUGCUAAGAUUUUAAAAACACGUUUAGACGUCGUCCGAUGCUUCCCGAGAAUUUUUCGGACUUUUUAAGACUUUUCCCCAUUUUUCUAAAAUAAAAAUCUAAUUUUGGAUGCUCUAAAUUCUUUUUCAUAGACACCAAAAACUUUAUUUGGAUUGAUCAACUCUCAAUAUAUCUCUAAAAGUUUUCCUUUAAUUUUUAGAAUUUUGGAAAUAUUUUUUUCAGGAAUUUAAAAUGAUUUCAGCUUUUUCUAGAAUUAUUUUGGAACUGAAAAUAAUUUAUUUAAAAUCCCGAAAUUAAGAAAUUCCAAAACUUUUCCAAACCCUAGACCUAUAUAUAUGCCGGCGUAGCCCUCGACGCGCUGAUUCCAGAAGUACGAUCGCUUUCCCGAGCCGCCUUUCGUAGCUCCGCAGAUCCAUCGCCGAAGUUUUGGAUCUCGUUUCCGGUGAACUUUUCCGGUGAAAGUUCGGCGAGGUUUUCCGGCCAACUCCGGCGUCCUCUGCGAAAACCGUCACCGCUGCGAGGUUCGUCUCGUCGUCCUCUACACCGGCACGCCAUUCGUUUUGUAAAUCCGGGCUAGUUUACUGUUUCCCUAACCUCUCUUCUUUUCCGGCGAACUUUAUCCAUGGCCGGCAUCGUCUUCAUCACCUCCGGCGAUUCCUUGUACCAGCAGCUGGACGUCGCCGCCUCAGACUCGCGACCCCAGCCGGACCAGCGCGCGGCCUCGUGCGCCCCUGCUUGCGAGCAGCAGGACGCCGCCGCUGCCUCGUGCAGCACGGCUGCCCCUUGCAGCCCUGUCUCGGACGGCCGCCGCCACAGGCCUUGCUCGGCUUGGAGCCGCCCUCUGGCUCGCCAAGGUCCUGGUCGUUCCCCGUCGCUGGCCGGCCAGGCGGCCGUCCCUGGCCCCCGUCCGUGUGAGCAGCGGCAGACCCUUGGCCAUGUACGGAUGACUCAAGGUAGAAGAUGAAAGUAAUUACAAGUUUGCCACUGGUCAUUAAUCCUUUGUCAUUGAAUCGUUCUAACUCCGUUUCAUUCCGUUUUAAUUGCGUUAGUUUCGUAACGUCGCGCUCUACGCAGUAGUGCUAACUUUUAUUUUGUCAUAUUUUUUUUAUAUAUAUAUUUAGUUGAAUAUUAGAUUAAUUAAUAUAUGCACCUAAAUCUAUAAUUAAAAGCAAUAUAGAGUUAUAAUCAUGAUUUCUAUUGUUUUAUGACCAUGACAACGUAAAUGACUUGUUAGCGAUACUGUUUUCCAUGUCCCAUGUUUGUAAAUAUAAUUAGUUUAAUUAAUAUUUAUUGAGUGUCAUUUUUUAAUUAAUAAAAAAACAAUUUAGGUUUACACUUUGGUAUUUUUAUAAUCUAAUAUUAACUUGAUUAAUGUUAACUUAAAUAUUUAUUAGUUAUAAUUCUUUUAGUUAGACAUAAAGUAUAUAAUUAAUUUGUUUAAUAUUUAUUUAAUGUCUUUUUGGAUUAAAGUAACUUAUGUUUAUAAUUUAGAUCUUUUAUAAAUAAAUAAAUGUUAACAUUAUUAAUAUCAACUUAAAUGGUUCUUUAUUAGUUAUAACUUGUUAUAUAAAUGUGACGCAUGUUAGGAUUUGAUUAGUUGCUCUCACUUGCUUUGUGUUUUCUAAAAUUACAAAGGCGUAAAUAGCUUAAAUGAUAUAUAAUCAUCUACAAUUAAAAUAUAACUGAAAUUUAACUCCGGCUUUUAUAAUUCAACAUAAUUUGGUUAAUCUAAAAUUAGGAUAGUUCUAUUAAAUGUCUGUCAUUUUAUUUCAUUAAAUAAAAUACGACCAGCGUGUAGUCGUCUUCUUCGUUACACUUCGAACCUCGAAAGUCGUAUCUGUUUAACGAUAGCUCCGUUCUCAACCGUUCUUGCGUUGUCACGAUCGUAGCAAUAAGCCGUGUCGUUUAGUGCGCUCUUUCUAAGCUUUUCUUUUGAUUGAUGCUUGUUCUUAGUCGUGAUUGUUUGUUUGUCUGUUGGUGUUGCUUGUUUGCUACGAGUAGAAGAAGCGUGGUUCAUCAACAGUGAAGAUCAGUUGCUGAGGACCGACAGUCGAAGCAGAAGUUGGAGAUCAGAAGAAAGAAGCCAAAGAAUUCUGAGCAGAUAUACACUAGGAAUUAAGGCAAGUGCAGACACCGUUUGAUCAUUUUGAACCUAUUCAUUAAUGCCAUUUACUUUAUUACGCAUGUGUCCAAUGAAUGCAAACCCUAAGGACAUGACUAGCUUUACUUACUAUUCCUUGUUCACCUGGGGUUUUGUAUAUGGAUAGUUUAGGCUAUACUAGGUUUGCUUAGCUGCUCUACUCAUCUUAUACACAUGCCUAAACAAGUAUUACUCUCUACAUAACUUGAUGCUUAAACUGUGCUGAACCUUUGGUCAUUGCGGUGAUGGCGAUGUUGGAUGCUUACGAGCAUCGUGAUGAUGGUGGCGACAGGGGGAGCGGGUACUGUUGGUGGUCCGGUUUGCCGGGCGUACCCGUCUCUGCUCUCCGUAAGGACUUAGUCAGGGAGCGGCCCCCUGGGACAUACAGUGCAGCUCCAAGCUAUAUGGCUCUGGCUUGACUAAUUAGCAGGACCUCCACUAGUAGGGUGUUACUUUCCGGGUAGGCGUGAGGAAGUAACUUGGGUAAUGAAUAUUAAGUUGUCGGUUGAUCGGUACGCCAUGGCUAUGGGUAUCGACUGCCGAGCGCCCCGGUAAAAACUUGCGAGUGGCAUCCUAUUAGUUGGACCCUGUGAAAGAUCUCGUAGUGAGACCCUGCCUGCUCACCUUGGCAGUGUUUUGGGGAGUCAUGACCCCGGGCAAAUGGGAAUCACGACUUGGAGUGAACGUGCACACCUCUGCAGAGUGUAAAACUGAUAUAUCAGCCGUGCUCACGGUCACGAGCGGCCCAGACCCUCACUUGAUGAGCAAAUUGGAUUCACUGGAUACUUGGAGAUGGAAUUUGGCGAGGUUGCUACCUCGUGUUUUGGCGGAAUGGCUAUUCCGUGUUGGCAGGAUUGCUAUCCUGUGUUAAUAAUUGGGGUUAAUCCCUGGACUACUAUAAUUAUUAGGAUAGUCAUUUAAAAGAUGCUAAUCACUACUUACACUAAUAAAGGGUUGGGUUUAUGCUACUCAUAAUUAGUAGUAGGUUGUUCUAAUAAUAGUCAUAAUUAAAAGUGAUCAACUAAAAUGCUACCGCAGUCAAACCAAGUCAGCUUUACCUUGUUUUAAGCCUUGCAUGUCAUUACUUUGUGCUUGCUGAGUUCGACAUGAACUCACCCUUGCUAUUCCCCCCCACACCCCAGUGUGUAGUAAAGUGCUGCUCAGAAGAAGAACAAAGAUGCUAUGGAGGUUUUUAGAAGCUUAUCAGAAGUGCUUGGCGUACGGAGCCCCCAGUCAACCGUCUCUGAGAAGAAUGGAGCCUAAGAAGUUUAGCUACUGUUUCCGCGUACUCUGAUGUUUGUAAGUGUUAAUAUAAAUAUGUUUUCCGCUAUAUAACAUUGUUUCUGAUAUUUCUAUUCUUUUGUUAUAUGUGUGGACUUCCUGGGCACACAUAUGACGACUCUGGUCUUAUUUUAAAAGCCAGGGUGUGACAACUGGACCAAACUCCUGAAAAAUAAGUAUAGAGAAUAGGUAGUACAUGAUGUAUAAAUAAACUCUAGAUAAAAAAUCAGUACUGCGAUAAGUUUUAGAUUUUUUGUUAUAAAAUUAGCACGAGUAGUUAAUUCAUCCUAGAGCUUGUACCAGCUCUGGUCUAGCCAACAAUCAGCAUGAGGCGCGGAACCUAGACAUGCGUGGGAUUGCCAGCCUCGCCAGAGAGCUACUACCGACCACCCGGAACGCAGAGGGCGGAUCUCAUGCACGUGUAGGGAGGAGUCGGAGACAGUACCGGCUCUAGAAAACUCGUGUAGGAGAAAAAACUAGUCGGCUAACCAAAAAGUUGUUUUUGAAGGAUAAUAAAAAAUAUUAUGCUAAAAAUAAAUAAAAUAUUAGAAGUGUACUUAUCUUUGGACGAAUGUCUGGUCGGUGGUGACAGAAUUGUCUGGCCCUCGAGCUUUUUGACUUGCUGUCAUGACGGUGGUCGCGGUUGUCGUAGCGCCGUUCUUCGCGGCGAUUAUUAUUGCGACUGGUGGUCAGAGCAAGUAGGCCAAACAACUUGGUCGUUAGCCCGAGCAGGUCGAUGUCGUCGAUCUGCCUCUCUUUGUAGUAGGGAAGCAGGUGACGCAUCGUCGGCGUGGUCGGAGACGUUGUUGGAGUAGUCGGAGUUGUAGCCAGCGUGGUUGAAGCCGCCGCCGACGUCGAUGAAGAAGUGGUUGGCGCAGAUCGGAUCUACACCUCCUCCGUGGUCUUGGCGGUGAAGCUGUUGAAGCUGACGGUGAACGUGAAGUUGCCCGCCAUGGCCACGAAGUCGGGGAUGAUGACCAUCUUGUUCGUCGGGAGAGCUGUACGCAACCCCCUACCUGGCGCGCCACUGUCGACGAAAGCUGGUCGGCAGUCUACCUUGGGGUAUACCCAUGGUAGUAGUUUAUCGGUAGACGGUGCGCAAACUACGAACUCGAUGGUGACGCAAGACACGGACAAGCUUUUUAUCCAGGUUCGGCCGCCGAGUUGGCGUAAUACCUACGUCCUGCGUCUGGUUGUAUUGAUUUGUGUUGAGAGAAUAUGAUGUGUAUGACUUGUCCUCUAGGGGACCCCUGUCCCUCCUUAUAUAUCCUGAAGGGACAGAGUUACAAGCAAAGUAUCCUAUUUGGUACAAUAUCUUGUAGUCUUGCGGUGCACGCCGACCAGUCGUGCGCCGCACGUCUUCAUCCUGUGGGCCGAGCCACCUCUGAUGGUGCGGCCCAUAUAGGCCCAUGAGGGUAUAGGGGUUUAUACCCCCACACUGUACCAUCGUGGAAUUCGUAGCGCCCUGUCUGUGAGAGAAACAAUGACCGUCAGGUAGCGUAUUUACUAGGGGAGUUACCGUAUCCGCCCGAUCUGUCCGUUGGUGGUCAGCCGUCUAUAAAUAUCCUUGGGUCUCCUUGUCGUCGCUCCUUCCGCCUUUCGCCCUUGUUCUUGCCUCUGCCUCCUUGCCAUCUCACGCGCGCGCGCACCCUCGAGCAGUAGCAGAGUCACUCUCCUUCCUCCUUAAGAUGCCGGUGAGACUCAUCGGCGUCGAUGACUGGCGCCCGUCGUUGAUGACGGAGCGCCGGUUGCUAGAGCUUGAGAAGGAGGGGCUCCUGCGCCCCCACGUCUCCUCGUCACGGCCGGAGUGGAUCGCGCUGGCGGCGGACCACCGGGAACCAAGGCCGCCCAAGGGCUAUGUGGUUUCCUUCGCCAAGUUCCACCACCACGGCCUGGGCUCCCCUCCGAGCCGUUUUAUGCGGGCGCUCUGCCAUCAUUACGGCGUGCAGCUCCAGCAUUUUUCACCGAACACCAUCGCCGCCGCGGCGGUUUUCGCAGCGGUGUGUGAGGGCUAUCUCGGGAUGAUGCCGCACUAGGAUCUGUGGCUCCACUUGUAUCAGGGCGAGCUCUUCCACGCCCCCAGUGGAACCACAGGGGUGAGGAAGCUAGUGCAGGCCGGGUGCCUCAACCUGGUGCUGAAGACCGGCAAGGCGGAGAAGCCGCGAGAGUACAUCCCGGUGGGGUUGACGUCGAACCACGCCGGGUGGGACUCCCAAUGUUUCUACCUGCGGAACGACGACGACCUCCACCCCGCCUACACUGGGUGCUUGAUCUCAGAGCGCCCGGACCACUGGAAGUAUGGUGUCAUCUAGACCCAUCAAUCGUGGCUCGAUCCCAUCCUCGACGCCCUGAAGAAGCUACGCGAGGAGGGCCUGACAGCCGCGCUCGUCUUCUCAGCUGUCCAUCACCGGAGGAUUCUCCCGUUGAUGUCUCGGCCGCUGAGGAUGGACGAGAUGGGUCCUGGCGUUUCGUCCUGGGAUCUCGAGGCAUGCCGGAUGUCCAAUGAGGCUCCUGUGGACGAAGAGGUCACGGCCAGAGUUAGGGCGGCCGUCGCGGGCGACUUUCAGCUUGAGCAUGUCAACGGCUUCCCUAUGAGGUCUGAUAAGGGGUCGAUUGACCUGGUAAGUCCUUCUCCCCUUUAUGGCUUCGAUUCUUGAUUUUCUUCGAUCCUUUUUAAGACUUAUCUUCGCUCGUACAGGGAUCGAUUGACGCUCGAUCCUUGAAGCCUCCUGUGAAGGAGGACGAUGUCGAUCGCGACAAGAGGCGUGAGUCCGCGAAGAAGCAGAAGUUCGCAAAGGACUUAGAAAAGAAUAAGGAAAAGAAGAAGAAUCUCGAGCGACAAGCGCUGGAGACACGUCGGGCGAAGUCCAGGCAAAGGUGGGAGCCUUAGGAGGACUCUCCCGACGAGGACGAUGGCAACGACGGCAGCGACGACUCUGAGGGGAUGGCGGCCCAUCUCGACAGAAUCUUCGACGGCCCGCCGCAAGCCGACGUCGUCGUCCCGCGGACAGGAGCUCCUAAGGGAGCGUUGAGCGGAUCCCGCGAUGGCCAACAGGGGGACUCCUCUCCGUGCCAUUCUGGCGCCGACACCCCUCCUGUGCCUGCACAGGGUCGAGCCGUCCCCCGCCCCCAACCUCCUCCUGCAUCUAAGGCGGGCCAUCGGGUUAAGUCUAUGGCGACGGGGCCGUUGACCCGUGGCCGAGCCGCGGCCUCGAGUCAGGGGGAAACAGGUCGUAGGAGCUCUAGCCCUGGUGCUCGCCAGGCGGGAGACGCCGAGCUGGGGCCUGCGCCCGCUCGUGAGAGGCCUGGGGUCUCGACGGGAGGCGGCUCGAGGCCAGCUGGUAGGCGGGUCGCUCUUCAUAUGGGGUAAGACCUUUAAUGUCGUGAUUCUUGUCUUCCGAUGUCUUUGCCUUUCCUCAGGUUGAAGCGGCCGCUCGAACAGGCCCAACCCUCGAUGGCCAAGAAGCUCAAGGUGGGGGCGGCUUCCAAAGACUCGGGUGAGUGGUUGGUUCUCCUUCCAGUGGUAUUGGCGCUGGGUGAUUCUUGUGCUGAGUUCUUCGAUGGCUGACGUAUCAUUUUUGAAUGCACACAGGUUCAUCUGAUCCUCGACCAUCGAUGGGCGUCGAGAACACCCUGCCUCGUCCAUCGGUGGGAGAGACCGCCCCGCCGUCACCAAGGCGGGUCGAGGUGCCUCGCGCCCAAUAGCAGGGGGGAGCCCCCAAGCCUCCCCAGUCUGGGGGCGUGGGGGAUCCCAUUACCGUUAGUGAUGGGUCCGGCGGUGAUCGGCCCUCGAAGGAUACCCACACCGUAGAGGAGGAUGUCGAGGCUUCUCCCAUGGUGAAGCGGAUGCCUUGGCCCAUCGGGCUCCACUCCGCCGACGAGAGGAGGAAGAAGGAAGAAGAAGAGCGUGAGCGGGAGCCGCAGCAACGGCGGUAGGAGGAGCUACAACAGCCUUCACGGUGGGAAUCACUCGAAGACGAGUUGGAGCAGUGUCGGCAGCAGGAGCUGCUGGAACUCCAACGGUAGCAGCAGCAGCAGAGCCAACAGUUGGAAGAGCAGCUCGAACUGCCACCGCACAGCCCGCGUCAGCCUGAACCGUCGCCGCCGCAGGGGCCCGAUGCCGGGGAGGAGGGUUUGCCAGUUUACGGCCCUCCGACCCCUGCGUGGCUAUGCCCAGGGGCGCCUGCUUCCAUCCCGACCGAGCCACGGCGAGCAGACGGUGUGGUGGCGCUUGCCUAUGCCAUGCGCACCCCUGUGGAUCCUCAGUCGGAGAUUAAGGGCACGAUCUAUGGUAUCGAGGGGAUCGCCCCCGGGUUCCUUCGAGACCGGCAGCCAUGGGUGGACCUUAGCACCGUUGGGGAGGACAAAGCUGGGACGUCGGGUGGAGGCGAUACCGGGGAGACUGGGACUUGGAGGACGGUGGAUGACGACGGGCGAUUCUCCUCUCUCAUCGACCUGUUCUUGCACCAUGGGGGGUCGCUCGAGACUGUCCAGGAGCUCAUCCGGGGCGUCAAGGUGCGCAUGGAGGAGGAGAUGGAGAACUGGGGCCCUGGUCGGAUCCGUAUUCGGGCCUCCACCGGUCCGUCAGAGCCCAAUAUUUUUAUGGAUGAUCGGAAGGAGGCCGAGAAAUGGGAGCAUCUCGAGGAGCUUCGUCUCUGGAUGAAGCAUGUGGUGGGACGUAUGUCUGACAUCGUCAACAAUGGGCUUGGUCAAGCUUAUUUUGUAAGUGUCUUUGGCCCUUAGCCAUUUGGGUAUUUGAUAUUGUAUUCUUACUGUUCUACUGCUGGUUCGUAGGAUCUAAAAGAGACCUCCCGCCUGAAGUCGGGCUUCAUUCAUGCGACGAGGGGCGGCUGGGAGCAGCUUCCUCUUCUCAAGGACCAACUCCUGGAGUCGCAGGAGAAGCUUCUCAAGGCCUGCAAGGACCUUCUGGCGCUCGAGGAGGAGAAAAAGGAGAGGGAGGCCGCCCUGGCCGAAACUCGGGAGGCCUCGAGGAAGGCGGUAGAAGAGGCCACGCAGCUAAGGGAGCGGACCAUGAUGGUAGAGGAAGCUGCGUCCAAGGCUCGGGAAGAGGCCCUAAUCUACAAGGAUGCGACCGCCGAUCUCGACAAGGAGAAGGGUCUCAUCAAGGCUGACAUGUGAAGGGAGAUGAAGGGAGAGUAUGUGAAGAGCGAAAUCGCUCGGAGCGCCGCAGAGCAAACCAGGAAGAAGGCCCUCGAGGAUCUCGAGGCGGAGCGGUUUCGCUCUCGCAGCCUCUCUGACGACGUCGAUCGUCUGAAGAGAGCGUUGCUGGAGAAAGAGGGAGCUAUCACGCAGGCGGGCAAGGUGAUCGAGGACUUGCGAGUCACCAACACCGACCUGGCGCGCUCCUACAGGGAGAUCGAGAGGGCCAACACCGAUUUGGUUGGCGAGAAUACGGCUCUAGAGGAGAAGAUUCGCGGUAUGUCUCUACUAUCAUGUUUCUUUUCCAAGACAUGUUUUGUGUUGUAUAAUUUCUCCAAGUUGGUCUUUGUAGGGCUUAAGGACGAGAUUCUAGCUGCUCAAGUCGAGGCCCGCUCCGCCAAGGCUCAGCUCGAGGGGGAGGUCGCUUUGAACGGUCGGCUGCGGACUACGAUAAGCGAUCUCUCGGCCUCCUAGGAGCUCGAGCCUAUGGAUGAGUCGAGGGAGGCGGCUCGAGGCGACGCGCUGGUCGAUCAGUUGUACUACCUGGGUGCCACGCUGAGGGAACGGGUGCGGGACGCCCUUCAUACCGGGGUAAAGUGGGCAAUGGCGGUUGUCUGCUCAGGCUUUUCCUAUGAUAUGGAGGUGGUGUCCCACAGCUUCAUCAUUGAUAUUUCUAAGACCGACGCAGAGAAUGAGGAGAGGCUCCACUCCUUGAUCGACAACGCGGAGGCCCCUGGGAAAGGCUGGCGAAGCUGUUCGAGCCAGAGGUGCUUCCUCUCGUGACCAGCCCGGGUGCGGAUGAAGGUGGUGAGAGCAGAGAUGCGCAACAAGGCCUGCGAGCCUAUGCUGGGUGUCAAUACCCACUGUAAUGUUCUUGUCUUAAGUAAACAUUGUGUCUUUAACUGGUUUAUAAGAUUUGUGAAUAUUUGCUUAUUUUUAUGCUCGAGAUUCCUUUGUCUCCUUGUUCGGUCUUUCGUUAAGGCGACCUUGAUUGCCUCGAGGGUGAGGGAGUGAGUAGAGUUACCAUAGCCCGGGGGCGUAGGGGUUCUCAGGCUCGUCGUCUCUCGGCCCUUAAGGGGCUCGAGGUUCCUCUACUACUCGACUGUGCGAGGUUUACUUAUAGAAAAAAUCGUUCGGUUUUCAGGAACUUGGGGGGGGUCCCCCCUGCUAGCCCCCGAGGGAGUAUUGACUAUGAUGGGUCAUAGUGGGUACUCCCUUCUAACGUCGAGACCUUGACCGGAGAAAAAGUAAAUUACUUGAGGAAAGGAUCUUGUUUAUUCAUGCAUUCAUUCAUGGGAUCUUGGUACAGAAUGUACAUGAGAACAUAAAACUUCGAAACUCUAGGCGUAGAAUCAACGUAGCUGUUCGAUGUUCCAUGCAUUGGUGAAGACCGCCCCUUUUUCGUCCGCGAGCUUGUACGUCCCUGGCUUCAGGACCUCGGCCACCACAUAUGGGCCUUCCCAUGGCGGAGUCAGCUUGUGGUGUCCUUGGUUGCUUUGUCGCCGUCGUAGGACGAGGUCGCCCAUGUUCAGAUCCCUUUUGCACACGUGCUUGUCGUGAUAGCGUCGAAGCUUCUGCUGGUACCUGGCAGAGUUGAGGAGGGCCAUGUCUCGAGCUUCCUCGAGCUGGUCGGCCGCGUUCUCUCGAGUCUCUUUAUUCGUCUGCUCGUUGUAGGCCUUGAGUCGAGGUGACCCAUACUCAAGAUCUGUUGGAAGCACGACCUCAGAACCGUAGACCAUGAAGAAUGGGGUAUAUUUCGUGGCCCUGCUAGGCGUCGUCCUUAAACUCCAUAGGACCGAAGAGAGCUCUUCGACCCAUUUCUUGCCGAGUUUCUUCAACCGGUUGUAGAUUCUUGGCUUGAGCCACUGCAAUAUCAUGCCAUUGGCACGCUCGACCUAGCCGUUAGUUCGAGGAUGAGCUACUGCAGACAAGUUCACACGGAUGUGAUGCCGGUCACAGAAGUCCAAGAACUUUUUGCCGGUGAACUGGGUGCCGUUGUCGGUGAUGAUGACGUUGGGUAUGCCAAACUGGAUGAUGUCGGUGAAAAAGAGGAUGGCCUGCUCAGAGCGGAUGUUCGUGAUGGGUCGAGCCUCGAUCCAUUUGGAGAAUUUGUCGAUGGCCACCAGCAAAUGGGUGUACUCUCCUGCCGCUUUUUGUAGAGGGCCUACGAGGUUGAGACCCCAUACCGCAAAUGGCCACGUGAUGGGGAUCAUCUGGAGAGCAUGAGCGGGAAGAUGGGUCUGCUUGGCAUAGAAUUGACACCCGUGGCACGACCGCACGAGCUCUAUGGCGUCAGCUAUGACCAUUGGCCAGUAGAAGCCUUGUCGGAAAGCGUUCCCUACGAGAGUCCGUGGAGCUGCGUGGUGGCCGCAAGCCCCCGAGUGUAGAUCCUCGAGGAGCUUUCGGCCUUCUUCUAUGGUGAUGCAGCGCUGCAAGAUCCCGGUCGGGCUUCGUCGUUGCUUUCGCCGUAGAUCACGUAUGAUUUAGCCCGUCGAGCGAUACGGCGAGCCUCGGAUCGAUCUUCCGGUAGCUCACAUCGAAUCAGGCAAUCAAGAAACGGCGUGCGCCAGUCGAAUGGUCGGCCGGGACACUGUUCCACUUCCAUUACUUCUGCUGUCGUUAGCAGGGCUUCGAUAGCGUCAGUUGGAUGGGGGGCGAUGGUUUCGACACCAGCCCCCGAGCUCAAGUCGAUGGAUGGUUCGUGCAGAUCUCUCGAGAAUGCGUCAGGCGGGACCGUGCUUUCAGUUGACGCGAUCUUAGCGAGUUCAUCGGCCGCCUCGUUGUAGCGUCGGGCGAUGUGGAUGAGCUCGGGGCCAUGGAAUUUAUCCUCGAGUCAUCGUACCUCCUUGCAGUAUGCCUCCUUUUUUGGAUCGUGGCAGCUCGAUGGCGAUCUUCAGCCCGUUGACAGGGGCCUCGUACUCCGCGAUGUUGUUAGAUGCGGCGAAAAUGUAAUCUGAUGACAUACCUCAUAUGGACACCGAGGGGUGAGAUGAGCAGCAAACCUGCCCCAGCUCCAGUCUUCAUGAGAGAUCCGUCGAAGUACAUCGUCCACAGCUCCGCUUGAACAUGAGCCGGGGGGAGCUGGGAGUCCGUCCACUCCGCGACAAAGUCCGCCAGAGCUUGAGAUUUGAUGGCUUUGCGGGGUGCAUAAGUGAGGGUCUCACUCAUGAGCUCGACCGACCAUUUGGUGAUUCUUCCUGUGGCCUCCUGACUUCGGAUGAUCUCUCCCAAGGGGAAGGACGAGACCACCGUGAUAGGAUGACCGAGGAAGUAGUGUUGCAGCUUGCGUCGAGCGAGGAUCACAGCGUAGAUCAGUUUCUGGAUCCGUGGGUACCGUACCUUGGUUUCUGGUAGUACCUCACUGAUGAAGUAGACCGGCCUCUGGACCGGCAGCGCAUGUCCUUCCUCCUGUCUUUCGACCACCACUGCCGCACUGACCACUUGGGUCGUUGCAGCAACAUACAAAAGCAGAGGUUCUGCGGACUGAGGUGGAACAAGGACCGGGGCAGAGGUCAGUGUUUUCUUCAGGCUAUCGAGGACCUCCUCGGCUUUAGGGGUCCACGAGAAAUGUUCAGCUUUUUUCAAGAGCCGAUACAGCGGCAAUGCCUUUUCCCCAAACCUCGAGAUGAAACGGCUUAGCGCCGCCAAACACCCCGUGACCUUUUGUACCCCCUUGACGUCUCAAAUCGGUCCCAUCCUCGCAAUGGCUGAGACCUUUUUGGGAUUGGCCUCGAUGCCACGCUGGGAGUCUAUGUAUCCCAAGAGCAUGCCUCGAGGCACACCAAAGACGCACUUCUCAGGGUUGAGCUUGAUUUUGUUGGCGCGUAGACAACCGAAAGCGAUCUCGAGGUCCUGAAUCAGGUCUCCUCGUUUCUUCGAUUUGAGGACGAUGUCGUCGACGUACGCCUCGACCGUCGACCCUAUGUGCUGGCCAAACACGUGGAGCAUGCACAACUGGUAUGUUGCCCCAACGUUUCGGAGCCUGAAUGGCAUGGUCACAUAACAGUACAUCCCAAAAGGCGUAAUGAAAGAUGUCGUGAGCUGGUCGGACUCUUUCAUUUUUAUUUGAUGGUAACCAGAAUAAGCAUCAAGGAAAGAAAGGGUUUCACAUCCCGUGGUAGACUCAACAAUUUGAUCAACGCGUGGUAAAGGGAAAGGAACUUUUGGACAUGCUUUAUUUAAACUCGUGUAAUCGACACACAUCCUCAUCUUCCCAUUCUUUUUCUUAACUAGUACAGGGUUUGCUAACCAGUCGGGAUGGUGAACCUCCUUGAUGAAUCUGGCCAUCAAAAGCUUGUGGAUCUCCUCGCCAAUGAUCUUGCAUUUCUCCUCGUCAAAGCGACGCAGCCGCUGUUUCACUGGCUUGGAACCUGCUCGAAUUUCCAAGGAGUGCUCGGCGACUUCCCUCGGUAUGCCUGGCAUGUCCGAGGGACUCCAUGCAAACAUGUCGGCAUUUGCACGGAGAAAGUCGACGAGCAUGGCUUCCUAUUUGAGGUCGAGGUCGGCGCUGAUCGUUAGCACCUUGCCGUCGGAGCCGUUGGGGUCGAGCGGGAUCUUCUUCGUGCCUUCUGCCGGCUCGAAGCUGCCCGCGUGACGUUUGAGUUCCGGAGCUUCUGCAGCGAGGGCCUCGAGCUUCGAAGCAAGCUCGGUGGAGUUCUCGACGGCUUCUCCAUACUCAACGCAGUCGACGUCGCACUCGUACGCAUGAUCGUAGGAGGAGCUGACGGUGAUGACACCCUUGGGCCCAGACAUCUUCAGCUUCAGGUAGGUGUAGUUGGGGAUAGCCAUGAACUUAGCAUAGCCCGGGUGCCCGAUGAUGGCGUGGUACAUGCCUCGAAAUCCCACCACCUCAAAGGUGAGAACCUCCUUUCUGAAAUUGGCCGCCGUGCCAAAACAGACCGGCAGGUCGAUUCGACCUACGGGCAACGCCUUCUUUCCAGGUACGACACCGUGGAAGCCGCCCGCGCUUUGUUGGAGCUGUGUCCUUUCGAUGCCGAGGAGGUCGAGGGUCUCGAGGUAGAUGAUGUUCAGGCUGCUGCCGCCAUCCAUCAGCACCUUCGAGAGUCUGGUGUUGACGAUGAUAGGGUCGACGACGAGUGGGUAGACGCCAGGGGCGACUACCUUGUCGGGAUGAUCAUCUCGAUUGAACGUGAUGGGGGUGUUCGACCAGUUGAGGUACUGGGGCACCGCCAUCCUUGCUGCAAAGACCUCAUGAUGCUCCCUCUUGUGUUGCCUUGCAGUUAGCUGCGUCGAGGGUCCGCCGUAAAUCAUGUAGCAGUCGUGGACGGCUGGGAAACCCUCGUCUUCUUUGUCGUCCCCCUUGUCGCCGUUCUUUUCUUUCUUCUAGUCAUCCUUCUUAAACCCCAUGCCGUCGAAGUGUAUUUUCAGCAUGCGGCAGUCUUCAAGCUUGUGGUUUGCCCCUCCCUUAUGGUAAGGGCAAGGCUCCUUCCACAUCUUGUCGAAGAAAGCUCCCUCAGGGGGUCCUCGAGGUUUUUUACGCUCCAUGGCAGCGACGAGAUCGUCGUCGAGGGCCUCCCGCUGGAACGGCCGUGCUUUCUCCUUCUUCUUGUUUUUCUUGGGUCCUCGACUGGGGCCCUCAUCGUCAUCGGCCGGCUACUUGCCUUUGCCUCCUUCGCAGCUGAAGAAAGCACCGACCGCUUCCUCCCCUGCAGGAUAGUUUGCCACCACAUCCAUUAGCUCAUCGACAGUCUGAGGGCGAUUCCGGCCCAACUCCCACACCAAAUCUCGGCUGGUGGUGCCUGAGAUAAAGGCCAGGAUGACGUCGUGGUCUGGGACGUGCGGUAGCUCGGUGCGCUGCUUCGAGAAGCGUCGGGCAUACUCUCAGAGAGUUUCUCCUAAUUUUUGCUUGCACUUGCUGAGGUCCCAUGAGUUGUCGGGCCGUAUGUAGGUCCCUUUGAAGUUGCCCUCGAAUACUCUGACCAAAUCGGUCCAAUCGUGGAUUUGGUUGGCUGGGAGCUCCUCGAGCAAUCUGCGGGCGGUGUCGGAGAGGAAAAGCGGUAACUGUCGGAUGAUGGCUCAAUCGUCCCCUCGAGCGCCUCCCAACUGACAGGCUAGUCGGAAGUCCGCCAGCCACAGUUCUGGCUUGGUUUCGCUGUUGUAUUUAGCAAUGCUACUCGGGGGUCGAAACGGGCUGGGCAGCGGCGUGCUGCGGAUCGCUCUGCUGAACAUGCGAGGGCCCAGCGGUUCCGGGGCCAUCCGGUCCUCGUCGCUGUCGUAUCGCCCGCCGUGGUGGGCGCUGUAACCGCGCUCCUCUGCAUCCCCGUGUCGACGAUGACGAUACUCGUUGAUGUCGUGUCGUGCGUCGUGUUGCCGUUGAUUAUCGACGGGGUGGUUUUGGACAGGCGCUGUCCUCUUUCCUCGAGGGGGUGGUUGCUGAUGGACAAACACCUCCUUUUCAUUUUAGAUCGGCUCGUCACGCCUCUCCGUGGUGGCUCCUCGACGUCGAGAUGCCGAGCUCUCGGCCUGCUGAACUGCCGCUACUGGAAGUAGAGUCUGCACCUCGUCUCGAAUUCGGCGUGCUUGGGAGUUCGAGGGUUCAGGCAUGUUACGUAGCAGCAUCGGUGCCACCACGACGUUCUGGCCUACUCGGGGGAUGCGGCUGACGGGUUGUUCUGGUUCCUCGUCCCCGACGAUCUGUCGAUGUACCUCUCGAGCUCGUCUGCGGGCACCUCCGCCAGGUGGGUACAGUUGAUCCUGCUCGAUGACCAGCUCGAGCUGGACAAGGCACUCGUGAUCUUCAUUGACCUUUGAUCUGAGCUCCUGUAACUGCACCAGUUGCGUGGCUUUGUCCUCCUGCGGUGGGGGGUCGACCUGACCGUCGUUCCCAGGCGUCUUGGAGCCCUCCCUCGCUACAGGGGCUCAUUCACCGGCGACGGCGUCUUGUGUUUCGUUGGUGGUUUCUACCUCCCCGUCGACGUUGAAGCAUUCCCUAGUAGGGUCGUAGCUGUCGGAUUCAGAGUCGGGGUCUGGCUCGGCGGCGUAGAAGCAUCCACGUCUUUCCUCCAGCAGCAGCUGCUUGAGUGAGGUGAUCGCCCAGGUCCUAGGCGUCGGAGGCCACGCACCUGGGAGAAAUCCGGUAACUCGGCCGCUUGCUGCUGCGCUCCAACGUCACGUGGGAGGACCAUUGGUCGCUCCACAUAUGUCUGGGCGUUUGGACAUAUCAUCCUGGCGAGCGACGCCGCGGCGUUGUCCAGGACGAACGACAGUGCUCUCCUUGGGGCGAACAACCCGUGUGGAAGUAGCGUUGCGGAGGACGAGAGCGCGCGAGGCGCGUCGUCACCCAACAUCGUCGGGCGGUCCUCGUGAUGUCGGACCAUCGUACCCGCGGCUCCGGCGUGCGGGGUUGUCAGCUCCUGCGUUACCACCUGCCUGGCGCGAGCUGGCGAUUGCGAGGAGGCAGAGGAGUGGUGGCGGUGCUGUCCACUCCUCUUCUUGGGCGGGGAGGCAUGGUGGCGAGGCCAUCUUGUAGCCCUCAGUUGUGCGGGCGCAAUGCGAGCUCCUUCCGGUCCUUUGACCGAAAGUAGGAUCAUGUCGUAGCCGAAACCGGUAGACAUGAACUCGAGGCUCCUGAACCAAAUCACCGUGAAGCGCGGAAUCGGUGAAACAAGAGUGGCCAUCUGGAAAGAGAUGGGAAAUCGAUGAAAAAAAAAAGCAGGACCCCUACCUGGCGCGCCAAUGUUGACGGUCCUUAAGUAUCAAAUUUAAUUAUCAAAUAAACAAAGAAAAGGAUCCAAAUGAAAUCAACAUCUAGACUUAGGGUUUUAUCUGACAGAAUUCCACGAGUUUUGGUGUUUGUCUAUUUCUGCAGGGGGUUAUCAGGAAAUACGGAAGAAAGGCCCACACGUCGGGAUUACAUAGAGAUAUUAAUGUGCCGCGCAAUUAUCUUACAUCUAGAAGACUCCAGAAGCCACGAGACCGAAGCGGAGGCGAAACGGGGCCAGAGGCAGGGUGCCCACCCUGUUCCCCUAGGCGCCCGCCCACCUCCUAAGUCCAAUCAGGACUCUGCUUCGUGGGAGAUCUCCACCGACCUAAAGGAUGAAUCUAAACCAUACAAUCUAUGUCGGUUUGAUCCAACGGCCCAUAUUCACUUGAAGGGACUAUAAAACCAGACCCCCUGGCCCCUGGAGGAGGGAGCCUCUCAACUCUAAUUCAUUGUUCCUCAAGGGAGAAGAAGCCUCUGAUCAAGAUUAGAGCCACCACAUCAAUUAGAUAUCUAGAUUAGCAUAGCUACAUAGGAUUAGAACUGGAAGGAGUCAAUCUUCGAUUGGUUUCCAGAUCUGUCAGGACGAUUCUUGGUAAUUCUCUAAUUGUGUUUAUAAUUGCUUUCUAAUUAUCUUUGUUCUUCAAUAUUAUGAAUAUGACUUUGUUCUACUUCAAUAUAUUGCUUAUGACUUUGCUCUACUUGCUUAUAUUCAAGAUUAUAUUGUUCUUAGUUUAUCAUAGUUAUGUACUUGGCUUAGUUAGAUUCGAUCUAUAUACAUGCUUAGGAUCGUAUAGCAUUUAUCCAUCGGAUCCAUGGGUAAAUGAUAGAUAUUGUGUAGGCGUGGUGCUUAUACCGUAUUUAUCUGUGAUUGUACCCAAUAUGCCAGAUCGUGGGGUGGUUCAUGAUAGUGACAGCUUCAUUGAUUCUUAUAUAGUCCCCCUCUCGUGUAUUGGGCUGGCAGAGCAAUAUUAUUACGAUGAGAAACAUAGCAAUCACUCCCCUGUAAUAAUAUUGCUCUGCCAGCCCAAUACACGAGAGGGGAAUUCUUUGGCUAAGCGGUUAUCAAGUGCCACUAGGUGUCUUUGUUCAUGUGCAUGCAUUUAGAACCUAGUGAGCUAACUUAACUCCUUCAAAGAAAAUGAUUGUGAAAAUGCUAACACACGCACACUUGUUGGUACACACGUUGUGGUGUUGGCACACUUUGAGAAGGAGGUGGAGUUUUGAAGAGUAGAGAGAGGAUGGGUUCCUCUCUCCGGACGGAAUUCGGCGCUUUUCGAGAAAAUGAAGUGCAUAUUUUCUAUUGCGCCGGUGGGAAAUUUUGGAGUAGUCGCGGGAGUGUUUUUUGCUGAGAAGACACUCACCGGACGCUGGCUUCUGGAGCACCGGACGCUGCGUCUGAGCGUCCGGUGCAGACAGUGCCUGGCCCAGUUAGGGUAAGGCACCAGACGAUAGGCUCCGGACGCUGGCUUGAGGGUCCGGUGGUGCGCGUCCGGUGUAUGGGCAUUUUGCGACACUCUCUGCGCAUGGGUCCGGUGAGCACCGGAUGCUAAGGGUGCAUCCGGUGGCUUGCGUCCGGUGACCCUGCAAGUUUGCGGAGCUCUCUGCGCACGGGUCCGGUGUGCACCGGACGCGUCCGGUGCUAACUUGCUCAAGCGUCCGGUGCUCUGCAGGUUACUGUUAGACUCUGACACACGGCUGACGUUGGAGCACCGGACGCUGGUGUUGCGCGUCCGGUGCCCCUUUAAGAGCGUCCGGUGACCUCAAUUUUUGCCCAGUGAAAGAGCCAACGGCUCUAUUUGUUUGAGGGGCUAUAAAUACGUGUUUGGUCAGCUUGGGGCUCACUCUCUUGGCAUUCUAGCAUACAUAACAUCCUUGUGAACCUAAGCAAACACCUCCCACUCAUAUCCUUCAUAGAUUAUACGUCUUUGUGAGAUUGGGAGUGAUUCCAAGUGCAUUUGCUUGAGUGAUUGCAUCUAGUGGCACUUGGGGAUCGUUCUAGCUAUGGUUUUCUUGUUACUCUUGGUGAUUGCUGCCACCUAGACGGCUUGAGCAGCGGAGCAGCUUUGGCACGAGUUGGUGAUUGUUCGUGGCCAUCUCCCGGUGAUUGUGAGGGGUCUUGUACCUUCCCCGGCGGAGAGCCGAAAGGUAACUCUAGUGGAUUGCUCGUGUCAUUGAGCUACCUCACUUGUGGGUAGGUUCUUGUGGUGUCCUAGUGAGGACGAGGUUCGUGCUACACCUCUUAGCCACCGAACCACCAAGUGUUGGUCGACACAACGGGGACGUAGCAUGCCGGCAAGCACGUGAACCUUGGGAGAAAAAUCGGUGUCUCAAUUGUGUUUGAUUGGCAUUCUCCCGGUGCUUGAUUGUUUAUAUUGGUGAUUGGUUCAUCCCCUACACGGUGGUAUAAAUAUCUCAUCUUAUCUUUACUUACCGCAAACUAGUGUAAUUAGUUUAGUUGCUUACUUUGACUUGUAGAGACUUAGUUCUUGUGUGCAUAGAGAUCUUAGCAACUAGAAUUGUUGGGUAGGUGACUUGCAAACACCCCUUUAGAGCUAGAGCAAAAAGCUUCGCUUUGUUAUUUACUAACCUUUUGCUCUAGUGAGUUUGUAGAAUUUUUAAAUAGGCUAUUCACCCCCCCUCUAGCCAUAUUAGGACCUUUCAAGUGGUAUCGGAGCCGUGGUCACCGUUUUGUGAAGGCUUAACAACCUCGGUGCUCAAAUUAUGGCUCAAAUAGUGUUCAACCAUGUUGGGGGCAAACCACCGUUCUUUGAUGGCACAAGUUCCUUUGACUAUUGGAAGAGAAAAAUGAAGAUGUACCUUGGAUCAAUCAAUGAUAGAGUGUGGGAAGUCACGGAGAAUGACUUUGUGAUCCUUGACCCCGCUAACCCCACCGACAAUGAGAGAGCAAACAAGCAAUGCAAUACUAUGGCUCUCAACACAAUAUACAAUGGCAUUGAUUCAAAGGUGUUUGAGCAAGUCAAAGAUCUUGAGAAGGCUAGUGAAGUGUGGACAAGGCUUGAAGAAACAUAUGAGGGCACUACAACGGUAAAAAGUGCCAAGUUGUACAUGCUCAAGGACAAGCUUUCAAACUUCAAGAUGAAGGAUGAUGAGUCAAUCCCGGAGAUGUUCUAUAGGCUCAAAGUCAUCAUCAAUGAUCUCAAGGGCCUUGGUGAGAAAGUGAAGGAUGAGGAUUUCAUUCACAAGUUCUUGAUGUGCUUGCCCAAGAGAUUCAAGACAUUGAGAACCAUCAUAUUUAGAGGAGGAUUGACGGGUGUAUCUCCCAAUGAGGUACUUGGAGAUGUCAUGACCGAAGAUCAAUACAAUGACAAUGAUGAUGAUGAGGUCAUGAAGAAGGAUGAUGAUGAUAAGAAGAAGAAGAGUGUAGCAUUCAAAGCUAGCUCUUCAUCCAAGAGCAAGAAUAAAGGCAAGGCCAAGAAGGAAGAAUCUAGUGAUGAGGAGUGCUCCAAUGACGAUAGUGAUGAUGAAGCACUAGCACUCUUUGUUCGCAAGUUUGGCAAGAUGAUGAAGAAGAAGGGCUAUCACACAAGAAAGAGAAGAGAUCACUUCAAGAACAAGGAGCAUGUGAGACUAUGCUACAAGUGCAAGAGCCCCGAUCAUAUUGUGGCGGAUUGUCCUUACAAUAGUGACAAUGAUCAGUAUAACAAGAAGAACAAGAAGGAGAAAAAAGAAAAGAAAGAGAAGAAGAUGGUCUUCAAGAAGAAGAAGAAGAAGGGUGGAUUCCUAUGUUGUGACAUGGGAUAGUGAUGCUUCUUUGGAUGAUGAUUCUAGUGACGAUGACAAGGCAUCCAAGAAGAAGGCGCUUGCAAGCAUUGCUAUCAACAAGCCAUCACUCUUCGACACUCCUUAAUGCUUCAUGGCCAAGGGCCACAAGGUACAAUAUGAUGAGAGUGAAAGUGAGAGUGAACAUGAACAUGAUAGUGAUAGUGAUGAUGAAAAUGAAUUCACUAAUGAACAACUCAUGGACAUGUUAGAACAAGCCGAUUCUCUCAUUCAAUCUAAAAACAAGAAGAGCAAAGAAUUGGCCAAGAAGUUAAAAGCUCUUGAGCAAUCCUUUGAUGAGCUCAAUGCUAAUCAUGAGAGGCUAGUGGAAGCCCAUGAGAAGCUUGGCAAGGCUCACACCAAGCUUGAGAAAGCUCACUCCUUGUUAUUAGAAGAGAACAAGAAAAAGGUUGUUGUAUCAUGUGAUGUGAGCACAUGUGACUUAAUUAAAGAAUCACCCAACCUACCUAUUGUUGUUGCCACUAACUCUUCUUGUAGGUCUUCAUCCACCACCACCAACUCUACCUCUACUUCUAGUGUUAGUGUCACUUGUGACACCUCACUAAAGGUUGAGAAUGAGACUCUCAAGAGAGGUGGAUGAGCUCACUCACGCCCUAGGCAAAGCCUAUGGUGGUGAGGCCCACUUGCUAAAGUGCUUGGGUAGCCAAAGGUUUUCUCUCAAUAAAGAGGGAUUAGGCUAUACCCCCAAUAAGGGCAAGAAAGCCUUUGCAACUCACAAGCCUAGCUUUGUGAAGAGCAAUGGUCGGUAUUGCAACAAAUGCAAGCAAGUUGGGCACCUAGAGCUUAAUUGCAAUAAAAUGAACAAGAACAAGAAAAAUGUUGAUGUACCUUACAUUCCUUUUGAUUCUUGUUAUGUGCUUACCAAGGGUGAGAAGGAUGUUCAUGCUAAGUUUGUUGGUACACCAAUUGUGGGUCCAAAGAAGAAGGCCAUUUGGGUACCAAAAACCUUAGUCACUAACCUCCAAGGACCCAAACAAGUAUGGGUACCUAAGAAACAUUGAUUUGUUUUGUAGGUAAACUAUAAAGCCGGAGGAAGGCAUUGGGUGCUUGAUAGUGGGUGCACACAACACAUGACCGGUGAUUCAAGAAUGUUCAAUUCAAUCAAUCUAAAUGAUGACAAUGGUGUUGAUAGUAUCACAUUUGGUGACAAUGGUAAAGGCAAGGUCAAAGGGCUUGGUAAAAUUGCUAUAUCCAAUGACUUGAGCAUUUCCAAUGUGCUGCUAGUAGAGAGCUUGAACUUCAACUUGCUAUCCGUAGCUCAACUUUGUGAUCUUGGUUUCAAAUGCAUAUUUGGAGUUGAUGAUGUAGAGAUCAUAAGUGUAGAUGGCUCAAACUUGAUAUUCAAAGGCUUUAGAUAUGAGAAUCUAUACUUGGUUGAUUUCAAUGCUAGUGAAGCUCAAUUGUCAACAUGCUUGCUCACUAAAUCUAGUAUGGGUUGGUUAUGGCAUAGAAGGCUUGGUCAUGUUGGAAUGAAACAAUUAAACAAGUUAGUCAAGCAUGAUCUUGUUAGAGGCUUGAAAGAAGUCACAUUUGAGAAAGACAAGCUUUGUAGUGCACGUCAAGCCGGAAAACAAGUUGGCAACACUCAUCCAAAGAAGAGUGUCAUGAGUACAUGCAAAGCAUUUGAGUUGUUGCACAUGGACUUAUUUGGACCAACCACAUACACAAGCAUUGGUGGAAACAAAUAUGGAUUUGUGAUAGUGGAUGAUUUCACAAGAUACACAUGGGUAUUCUUUUUUAGUGACAAGAGUGAUGCUUUUGCAACCUUCAAAUCAUUUGUCAAGAGAAUACACAAUGAGUUUGAAACAACCAUCAAGAAAGUGAGAAGUGACAAUGGAAGUGAAUUCAAGAAUACAAGAGUUGAUGAGCUUUGUGAUGAAUUUGGCAUUAGGCAUCAAUUCUCGGCCAAGUACACUCCACAAUCAAAUGGUCUUGUUGAGAGGAAGAAUAGAACCUUGAUUGACAUGGCAAGAUCAAUGUUGAGUGAAUACAAUGUUAGUCAUUCUUUUUGGGCCGAAGCAAUCAACACGGCUUGCUACUAUAGCAACCGACUUUAUUGUCACCCAAUGAUGGAGAAGACUCCAUAUGAGCUCUUGAAUGGAAGAAAGCCCAACAUUGCAUACUUUCGGGUUUUUGGUUGCAAAUGCUACAUAUUGAAGAAAGGCACUAGAUUGAGUAAAUUUGAAAAGAAAUGUGAUGAAGGAUUCUUGCUUGGUUACUCCACUACUAGCAAAGCUUAUAGAGUGUGGAAUUUGGCUAGUGGUACUCUUGAGGAGGUGCAUGAUGUUGAGUUUGAUGAAACCAAUGGCUCUCAAGAAGAAGAAGAGAAUCUAGAUGAUGUGAGAGGCACUCAAUUGGCCGAUGCAAUGAAGAAUAUGUAUAUUGGUGAUUUAAGGCCUAGAGAAGUGAUUGAUGUUGAAGAUGACAAAGAUCCAGUGCUUCCUACCUCUAAUGUGCAAGCUAGUGGUUCUCAUGAUCAAAAUCAAGCUAGUACAAGUGGUACUCAAGUGCAAGAUCAACAAGCUAGUACAUCAUCUCAUGAUCAACCAAGUGCAAAUACUCCAACCAACAAAUAUUGCAAGAGAUCAUCCAUUGGAUCAUAUUAUUGGUGAUAUUCAAAGAGGAGUGCAAACUAGAUCAAGACUAGCAUCAUUUUGUGAGCAUUUCUCCUUUGUGUCUCACAUUGAGCCAAAGAAGAUUAAUGAAGCAUUGAGAGAUGUCGAUUGGGUUAAUGCUAUGCAUGAAGAGCUCAACAAUUUCAAGAGAAAUCAAGUAUGGGAAUUAGUUGAGAGGCCUAGUGAUCACAAUGUCAUUGGUACUAGAUGGGUCUUUCGCAACAAACAAGAUCAAGAUGGGAUAGUUGUAAGGAACAAAGCAAGAUUGGUAGCCCAAGGCUAUACUCAAGUUGAAGGUCUUGACUUUGGUGAAACAUAUGCCCCGGUUGCAAGAUUGGAAGCAAUUAGGAUCUUGUUAGCCUAUGCUUGUUCUCAUAAUAUCAAGCUAUACCAAAUGGAUGUGAAGAGUGCAUUUCUCAAUGGCUAUAUCAAUGAAGAAGUCUAUAUUCAGCAACCUCCCGGUUUUGAAGAUGACAAGAAACCCAACCAUGUUUACAAACUAAGAAAGGCAUUGUAUGGUUUGAAGCAAGCACCAAGAGCAUGGUAUGAGAGAUUGAGAGAUUUCUUACUCUCUAAAGGUUUCAAGAUGG
rnacentral:lncRNA from 1 species